rnacentral:lncRNA from 1 species
CUUUUUUUUGUAGUGCGUGCUCGCCGUGCAGUGUCACCAGGAGGCGUGCGAGUAGCUGUGUGAAAUGACAGUAGGCAUGCCAACAAUCCCUUGUGCAGGCUCACCAGGAGGCGAGCCAGCCUUUUGACCGCCACCUGCCUCUCUCUAUUACGUCUCCGUCGUAUCUAUAAGUUUUGAUUGUUCCACGCCAAUAUUAUACAACUUCCAUAUAUUUUUUACAACAAUGUAUAUGAUUUUUUGGGACUAACAUAUUGAUCCGGUGCCAAGUGCCAGUUCCUAUUUGUUGCAUGAUUUUUUGUUUCGCAGAAUAUCCAUAUCAAACGAAGUCCAAAUGAAAUAAAAUUUUACAGAGAAUUAUUCUGGAAUAUAUGUGAUUUUUGGGAGGUGGAAUCAAUGCAAAAGGAAGCCCACAGCCUCCACAAGGCACCAUGGCGCCCCCCAGGCGCACGGUGGUGAGUAGUGGCCACCUUGUAAGGUGGUUGCUACCCUUCUUUCACUGCAAGAAAGAUAGUAUCCAGAAAAAAUCAUGUUAAAAUCUCGGCACAAUCGGAGUUACGGAUCUCCGAAUAUUUAAGAAAUGGUGAAGGGCUGGAAAAAAGGAACGUGAUACAGAAGAGAACUGAGAGAUAGAUCCAAUCUAGGAGGGGAUCCUCUCCCUCCACCGCCAUGGAGGCCAUGGACCAGAGGGGAAACUCUCCUCCCAUCUAGGGGGAGGCCAAGGAACAAGAAGAAGGAGGGGGAUCUCUCCCCCUCUCCCCCGGUGGCACCGGAGUGCCGCUGGGGCAAGGAUAGUGAUGACGAUCUACAUCAACAACCUUGCUACUGUCAACACCAACUUUCUCCCCCUCUAUCAGUGGUGUAACCUCUCAAUUCCCGCUACAAUUCUCUACUUAAACAUGGUGCUCAACACUAUAUAUUAUUAUCCAAUGGUAUGUGGUUAUCCUACGAUGUUUGAGUAGAUCUGUUUUGUCCUAUGGGUUGAUUGAUGAUCGUGAUUGGUAUGAGUUGUAUAUUUUAUUUUGGGGCUGUCCUAUGGUUCCCUCCAUGUCAUGCAAACAUGAGGGAUCCCCGCUAUAGGGUGUUGCAAUACAUUCAUGAUUCUCUUAUGGUGGGUGGCUAGAGUGACAGAACCUUACGCCCGAGUAAGGGGGUUGUUGCGUAUGGGAGUAAAGAGGACUUGAUACUUAAUGCUAUGGUUGAGUUUUACCUUAAUGAUCUUUGGUAGUUAUGGAUGCUUGCUAGAGUUCCAAUCAUAAGUGCAUAUGAUCCAAGUACGAAAAGUAUGUUAUCUCGUGCCUCUCCCUCGUAUAAAAUUGCAAUAAUGAUUAUCGGUCUAGUUAUCGACUGCCUAGGGACAAAUAACUUUCUUGUGUGACAAAAAGCUAUUCACUAAACUACUAAAUUUAUUAUCUUGCAAUUUAUUUGUAAUUUUAUUCUCGCAAAGUACUUCUAGUUUUAUUCUUGUUCUAGGUAAAGCAAAUGUUAAGUGUGCGUAGAGUUGUAUCGGUGGUCGAUAGAACUUGAGGGAAUAUUUGUUGUACCUUUAGCUCCUCGUUGGGUUGGGCACUCUUAUUUAUCAAAAAAGGCUACAAACAAAGCGCUAUACUUGUGGGUUAUCACUCUCCCACUACUCCAUAUUAAUGGCAUGCUCGAGCUGUUGGUCAUAAUAGGCGGCCGCACCCCCCAUCCUUGCCACACCCCCCAUCCUCUCUCUCCGCCUGCAUCCUCGACUCCACUCUCAGUCCUCACCGCCGUCAGUGUAUGAGGAUGCCACCAAAGAGCCCCAUCAGAGGGAGUGGUGAUGCAGGGGCUGCUAAAGCACUGGAGCACGUCAUGAAGAUGGAGACUGAGGUUGUCGUUGCCGCUCACGAGGUCUCGUUGGACCUUGACAUCGUCGACGGCGUCGUGCUUCCACAGUAAGUGUCGGAGGUCCACACCGACUCCGGCGACGAUAGAUAAGCGGUUAGUCAUCUAUACCCAUUUAUGUGUCAAAUAUAUCCUAGGGUUUCUCUAGUUACUCCUGUCUCCCCCUUUUUUAAAUAUAAAUCCUAUGGUUAUGUCUCUCAAUCCAUGAAAUAUGAGUAAGCUUCGUUUGAUCCGUGCAGUGUAUUGAUUGUUUGAAUGGUACAAAUGAUAACUGAUUAGUUGUUUCAUCUGUACAAAUGGUUUCUACUAAUAACCCGACUAGGGUUAGUGUUCGUGCUAAUAAUUCAUAGCCAGACAUUGACAAUUGAUUUUGAAUGUCCUACAUAUAUAUUUGUGCCAUUUUUUCAAGAUUGGUCUGUACAUACAUGAUUGUUCUUAAAAAUCAAACCAUAAUCUUUCAAUGUGUCUUAAAAAUAGCCAUAAAAUCCAUAAAUUAUCACACUCAAGUGCCCAUAAUUACCCUUCUGUGUAACUUUGACCUCAUCACCCACGGGUAAACUUAUGGUCGAAGUCAUUUCACACACUUUGUUUUUGCAAAGCUUUUUACCAAGAAAUGCGCACGUUUUGCUUCUCUCCUAGCCAAUGCGUGGCCAAACUAUCUGGGCGAGAAGCUUGUGUGCUUGCGCGCGAUAAACUGCGCGGUUGCGCGGGAACAGGCUCACCAAUGAUACAUUUGGUGCCUCUUCGAGCCCAUGCAUGGUCAAAUGAAAUGCGUGUGGGGUGCUCAAGCGUGCAUUGGAAUCCUCCGCUAUGAACGUUGUGACAAGACGUGACGAUUACAGGCUGGUCAGCCCCCAUUUAUUACAUUGGCCAUUUAACCCUUGUGUCUCUUCAACCUUUUGAUCGUGCCCCGGUAUUGCAAGAAGCACACCUACCGUGACAAAUUCUUAGAGGGUAUCCUGCAUGGCUCCAAUGGAGCUCCGAGCGGUUGCCACGACGAGCAGCAGUUCACCGUGCAUGCCAUGGUGGAUACACAUAGAAGGUUAAUGGAGCUCUCGGUGGUGUACACCAACAACCCGGCCUGGGUGGAGCACACCAUCCACACCAUGGAGUUGUUGCUUGCUGAGGAGAAGUACAAGGUGGUCGGGUUCGACCUCGAGUACACCCGCGCUCAUGUCGGGUCUCAUCCCAAGGUCGUUGUUGCCUAGAUGUGCGUGCGCAAUCACUUCCUAGUCGACCACUACUGCAUGGCGACAAGGCCUUGCGAGCAUUUCGCCAGGUUUGUCAACAGCCCCCACUACAUGUUCGCUAUGGUGGACAUCACCAACGAUGUAAAGGUGCUCAAGAAUUCGGGCAUCGCCUGCCAGAAUCUUGUCGACAUCCAGGGCCAAUACAAGAUCUGAGGCAGCAAGAAGCAUGAGAAGGACUCACUAGUUCACCUCACUGAGGCCAUCAUCGACCCCUACUACAGAGACGUGAAGGAUUCCUACAACAAGGACAAACGUGCCUGGCACUCUGCCUGGAUGGAGAAACUCAACAAAGCUCACGUCGUGUACAUAGCCAAGGAGGCGUACACAAGCUACGAGAUGUACAUGCGGAUCAUUAACAUGAGGAAGUGACUCCUUCCCCAAAAUGGCCAGGGAUCCAACCGAAAGCGAAGCAAUGGCAAGCGUCAUCACAACAAGAAGUAGGUAAUUAGAUGCUCGUUUCUCCUAGUUUAGUAUGCAUGUAAUUGCUACUUUGGUGUGUAGAAAUGUUAUGUGUGUAGUCACUUUUGUAAUUGUAUGCUUAAUUUGGUUAUGCAAUGAUGUUCUUAUAAGUAUAUAUGUUGAUGUUCUGUAGAUAGUGAUGAGGAUACAGACCUAGGGUAGGGUCAUAGGCCCGACCUAUAUGUCCUACCCAAGGUCACUACCCAAGAAGGCAAGAAGGUCAAGAGAUAACAUGAGACACCCGGUCGAAGAUGUCGAGUGCAAUCCACUCAACAUCAUGUCACUCGAGAGUCUCCAUACCUACUGUCACUCGACCAACCAGAGAAUCACUCGACCUCUCAAAGACCAAGAGUCACUCCGCAUGCAACAGACAAGCAUUCACUCUGUAGUCUUUAAGGUCAUUAACAGCACUUAAGGCUGGCGUUACCAGUAACGCCACCACUUUAUGUACAUUAACUCCCUUGUAAUGGAGGGCGGGAAAGGUCCUGGCAAACUCUAUAUAAGCCACCCUCCUCCUCUGGCACAAGGGUUUGCACCCCCUGUAACAUCACACAUAUAAUCCAAUCGACCACUGAGACGUAGGGUUGUUACUUCCUCCGAGAAGGGCCAAAACUCGUAAAACCUGUGUGUACACCUUCACCAUAGCUGAGAUCUUGCCUCUCCAUACCUACCCCCCUUUCUACUGUCAGUCUUAGAACCACGACAGUUGGCGCCCACCAUGGGGUAGGUGUCUUAGCGACUUAUUGGUGAAGUUGCAAGUUUUUCCGAUCAUCAUCAUGGUUUCCGGCAGCGAGUUGGCUGAGGGCCGCGAGAUCCGUCUCGGCGCACUUGUUUUUGUCCCCGAUGACUCAGUGUGGCUUCAAGAAGCUCCGCUUGACGUUGAGGCGCUUCCUGUCCGAGGGGCAACGCACUUUCGCGCGUGCGUUCGCGGCGUCCUUCUUCGGCAGCCGUCGAGCCAGUAUCAGUCAACUCCGACGGUGUCUUCCCUCCCCGCUAUUCGCCGCCGCAAGCGAUCCAGACGAUCAUGGCUUUAGCGGUGGGUGAAACAGGCGGUGGCUCGGCGUUCAGCCACCCAUCAAGUCGUGGCAAUCAAGCCCGACGAAACUCUCCACGGCAUGUUCGAUCUAUUGACUGGCUCUGCGGAGACUGCAUCCGAGUGCGAUAGCAGCGACCCUGCAGCUAAAGUCCUGAUGGUCGAUGGUCAGCGUGGCCCACCUGGCUUUCAUCGCGAGGAUGGCAAAUAUGGUGGCGGCGAUCCGUCGCGAGUCCAUGAGGAGUAUCAUCCCGAACCUCUUUCUUCGCAGCAGAGGGAAGAACUUCGUCGCCGCAACAUGGAUGCACUCCACAGGCCCAUCGUUGGAGAAACCCCCGAGGCUCGGGCCUUGGAGGAGGCGCGCUUGGCUAAUUUGGCUGAGCAUGCCCGACUGGAGAACCUGCAGCGCGCUCCCGACGAGCGAGCUCGGGAGCGGGUCCCUGAGUCCAGUUGACGGCAGCUUUUCCCGCCUCCACCUAAGGUAUACCAUACUCCAAUUCAGAACCUCACAGCUACGGCCCGAAUUGCAGAGUCGAUCCAACCUUCCCAGUCGGAGGCUGGCCGAGGGUUGAUGCAGAUCUGGGCCUUGCUCCGGGCAGCAGGAGAGCAGAACACUACAGUGUCUCAGUCGCGGAAUAGGAUUCAUAGCAGAUCCGUAGUAGCGGAUACAGUCCAGUCGGCCCAUAGCCCAAGAUCGCCCCUGCGGCGUGAGGGCCGUGGCAGUAUGAUCGUCAGUUCGACCGCGACAAUCAUCGUCGAGUGCCUACACCUCCUCCAAGGAGUGCGUCGUACGUGCCUCGGCAGAACGAUGAUAGACGUUGUCACAGUGACGAGCGCAGAGCUCCAGUUGACCCAAGAGAGCGAGGCUUCGAUGUGAGAUCCAUUCUCGUUCAAGGCUUGGUCGACUGGAACAGAGCGCAUAGAGAAGACCCUGGCAGAGAUCGUCCGAGUGGCAGCAGAUUGCAUGUUUCAGGCCCAGAGUGUUUCAGCAGAGCCAUCAGGGCAGCAGUGAUUCCUCCCAACUUCAGGUUGGCAACCAGAGUCAGUAAGUUCACUGGAGAAUCCAAGCCUGAAACCUGGCUUGAGGAUUACCGAGUGGCUGUGCAGAUUGGAGGCAGAAACGAUGAGAUAGCGAUGAAGCAUCUCCCUCUUAUGUUGGAAGGGUCGGCCCGAGAGUGGUUGACUCAGUUGACUCCAGGCAGUAUACACAGUUGGGAAGAGCUAGCUCGAGUGUUCGUAGGAACUUUCGAGGGCACGUGCAAGCGACCAGCAGGGUUGCCCGAGUUGCAGCAUUGUGUGCAGAAGCCGAAUGAGACUUUGAGAGAAUUCAUUCAGAGAUGGACCACUUUGCAUCACACCGUUGAAAAUGUAUCAGAGCAUCAAGCAGUGUGUGCUUUCAAGGAAGGCGUCAAGUACCAAGAGUUGGUCCUGAAAUUCGGUCGGACUGGGGAUAUGACUCUGACUCGGAUGAUGGAGAUAGCCACCUGGUACACUAACAGAGAAGAAGAGGAUCGACUCCAUAGCGGGAAGAGUAAACCAGUCGGCCAAGAGGCCGGUGGGGGUAACUCCAGUCGGAAACAGAAGCAUAAGGCCGAGCCAGCGGCACCCGGUGAGAUUGCAGCAGUGGCUCAAGGAAAGUUUAAGGGAAAACCUAAGGGGCCCUGGCCCCCUAAGAAGGUAAAGGAUCAAGCAGGAAAUGAUGUGCUGGAUUUGCCAUGUCACAUCCACAUGAAGAAAGAUGAAGAAGGUAAUCUGAUUUACCCGAAGCAUACCACUCGACAAUGUCGACUCCUAAUCCAGCAGUUCCGAGAGAAACAGCCCAAUGAGAAAGAGAAAGAGUCGGACAAAGAUGAGGAUGAAGAGGAAGACGAUGGUUAUCCCAAAGUCAAUUCCACUCUCAUGAUUUUUGAUGAUGUUGAGAGCAAGAGUCGGUUGAAGGUUAUCAACAGAGAGGUGAAUAUGGUUGCUCCAGCGACAACGACCAUGUACCUAAAAUGGUCCCAGACAGCCAUCACAUUUGACCAGUCGGACCAUCCUGCUCAUGUAGCCACCCCCGGGAGGCAAGCGCUGGUGGUCGACCCAGUGGUCGGAGGCACUCGACUGACUAAAGUGCUAAUGGACGGUGGUAGCGGUCUGAAUAUCCUUUUUGCUGAAACCUUGAAGGGGAUGGGCAUCCCGAUGUCCAAGCUUAGCGAGAUCAAUAUGAGCUUCCAUGGUGUUAUCCCCGGAAAGAAAGCCGAAUCACUCGGCCAGAUCACUCUCGACGUGGUUGUCGGUGAUUCCAAGCAUUACCGUAAAGAAAAGUUGACAUUUGAGGUCGUGGAUUUCCAGAGUGCUUAUCAUGCCAUUCUGGGGAGGCCUGCAUACGCACGUUUCAUGGCUCGACCGUGUUACGUAUACCUCAAGUUGAAGAUGCUUGGCCCCAAGGGUGUGAUCACAAUUACUCGCAAUCGGCAAAAGGCGGAGGAAUGCUUCCAGAAGGGUUCCAAAAUUGCUGAUGCGCAGAUGGCUGCUGUUGAACUUCAAGAGUAUCAAAAGAAUGCAGAUCCGAGUGAUUUGCUACGAGCCAAGAAGCCUGCCACAGAUUCUGCAUUCCAGUCGUCUGGUGAAACGAAGCCGAUUCAUAUUCACCCGACCGAUCCCAAUGCCGUGCCGACUCAUAUAUCAAUGACACUCGACAGCAAAUAGGAAGAAGCGUUCAUCCAGUUCCUCCGUGAGAACUGGGACAUCUUUGCAUGGAAACCCUCUGACAUGCCAGGUGUACCCAAAGGACUGCUGAGCACCAUUUGUGUGUCGACCCCAAAGCAAAACCCGUCAAAGAGCACCUUCGGCGGUCUGCCGUGCAGAAGAGGAAAGCGAUUGGCGAAGAAGUGGCUCGGCUGCUAGCAGUAGAGUUCCUCUGAGAGAUCUACCACUCCGAGUGGCUUGCCAAUGUCGUCAUGGUCCCAAAGAAGGACGAUUCACUUCGUAUGUGCAUUGAUUACAAGCAUAUCAAUCGGGCCUGCCCGAAAGAUCACUUCCCUCUCCCCCGUAUCGAUCAGAUUGUUGACUCGACUGCGGGGUGUGAGCGCUUGUCUUUUCUAGAUGCAUAUUCCGGGUAUCAUCAAAUCCGAUUGUAUGGUCCCGAUGAAAUAAAAACAGCCUUCAUCACCCCAUUCGGGUGCUUUUGCUAUGUCACCAUGCCAUUCGGUCUUAAAAAUGCCGGAGCCACAUUCAUGAGAAUGAUUCAAAAGUGCCUGCUCACUCAAAUCAGUCGGAAUGUGGAAGCAUACAUGGAUGACAUCGUGGUCAAGUCUCGCAAAGGUUCCGACCUACUGACUGACCUCGCAGAAACCUUCGCCAACCUAAGGAGGUACGAUAUCAACCUUAAUCCAUCAAAGUGCACGUUCGGGGUUCCAGGAGGAAAGUUACUCAGUUUGCUCAUUUCCGAACGAGGGAUCGAUGCCAAUCCAGAAAAAUUUGAUACCAUCCUCCAAAUGAAACGCCCUGUGCUAGUACAUGACGUUCAGAAAUUGACUGGUUGUUUGGCCGCCUUGAGUGGAUUCAUUUCUCAUCUCGGUGAAAAGGCCUUGCCUCUUUACCGACUGAUGAAGAAAUCUGAUAAGUUCGAGUAGACUGAGGAAGCUGAUGCAGCAUUUGUAGAACUCAAAACCCUGCUUUCCACCCAGCCGGUGCUCAUUGCGCCAAUCAACAAAGAGCCUUUACUGCUUUAUAUUGCAGCCACUGGACAAGUUGUCGGCACAGUACUCACGGUCGAGCGAGUAGAGGAAGGAAAAGCUUACAAGGUUCAGCGCCCAGUUUAUUAUCUCUCUGAAGUUUUGACUCCAUCCAAGCAACGAUAUCCUCAUUAUCAGAAGCUUGUCUAUGGAAUAUACAUGACCAUGAAGAAGGUUGCACAUUACUUCUCUGAUCACUCUAUUACAGUCGUCAGCGAUGCACUGUUGUCUGAGAUUCUGAAUAACAGAGAUGCAACUGGUCGAGUGGCAAAAUGGGCGAUUGAACUCCUUCCACUGGACAUCAAGUUUGAGGCAAAGAAAGCUAUCAAGUCCCAAGCAAUCGCAGAUUUCCUUGCCGAGUGGAUUGAGCAGCAACUGCCGACUCAAGUUCACUCGGAACAUUGGACUAUGUUCUUUGAUGGCUCCAGGAUGCUAAACGGAUCAGGUGCUGGGGUAGUAUUGGUGUCCCCCCAUGGAGACAAGCUUAACUAUGUUCUCUAGAUUCAUUUUGAUUCCUCUAAUAAUGAAGCGGAAUAUGAAGCACUUUUAUACGGGUUGCAUAUGGCCAUUUCACUCGGCGUCCGUCGCCUCGUGGUAUACGGCGACUCAGAUUUGCUGGUUAAUCAAGUGAUGAAGGAAUGGGAUGUCAGAAGUCCAGCCAUGACUGGUUAUUGCAAUGCUGUUAGGAAGCUGGAAAAGAAGUUUGAAGGGUUGGAACUUCACCAUAUACCCCGAUUGAAAAAUCAAGCUGCAGAUGAGUUGGCAAAGAUAGGUUCAAAGAGAGAGGCCAUUCCCCGCAAUGUGUUCUUGGAACAUAUUCAUUCACCUUCAGUUUAGGAAGAUCCUUUCACUGAAGAGUCGCCACAGCCCAAGAGUGCCACAGAUCCGAUUGAAGUCGAAAUCCCAACCGUGGUCGACUUGGUCAUGGAGGUUUUGGUCAUUACUCCCGACUGGACAGUGUCGUACAUUGCAUAUAUUCUUAGGAAAGAACUUUCGGAGGAUGAAGAAGAGGCUCGACAGAUCGUCCGGCAAUCUAGACCUUUAUUGUGAUAAAGGGAUAGUUGUUCAAAGAAAGUACAACUGGAGUCUGCCAGAAGUGCAUCACGCCAGAAGAAGGUCGAGUGAUCCUCAAUGAUAUUCACUCGGGGACCUGUGGUCACCACGCGUCCUCUCGGACCAUCGUGGCCAAAGCAUACCGAGCCGGAUUUUACCGGCCGCGGGCCAAUGAGAUGGCUAAGGAAAUAGUGGACAAGUGUGAAGGCUGUCAGUUUUACUCCAACAUGUCCCAUAAACCUGCGUCAGCUCUAAAAACAAUUCCGCUCAUCUGUCCUUUUGCCGUCUGGGGAUUGGACAUGGUUGGACCUCUGAGGACUGGCAGGAGUGGAUUUACUCAUGUGCUGGUGGCAGUCGACAAGUUCACCAAAUGGAUCAAAGCCAAGCCCAUUAAAAACCUUGAAGCAAGUACAGUUGUGAGUUUCAUCAAGGAACUGAUAUUCAGAUAUGGCGUCCCACACAGCAUCAUCACACAUAACAGCUCGAACUUCGAUUCUGAAGAAUUCAGAACCUUUUGUGCCUCCCAAGGCACGAGAGUCUACUACGCUUCGGUUGCUCAUCCUCAGUCGAAUGGGCAGGCCGAGCGGGCAAAUGGAUUAAUUCUCAAAGGACUAAAACCCCGGUUGAUGCGUGACCUGAAGCACGCAGCAAGGGCUUGGGUCGACGAGCUCCCAUCAGUACUUUGGGGAUUGAGGACAACUCCUAACCGGUCGACUAGAAGGACUCCAUUCUUCCUAGUCUACGGAGCCGAAGACGUGCUCCCUAGUGAUUUGCUCCACAAUGUGCCUCGAGUCGAACUCUUCUCAGAGGAGGAAGCAGAGCAGGCUCGGCAAGAUGCAGUCGACCUCCUAGAAGAAGAAAGAGAGAUGGCUUUGAUCCGGUCGACCAUUUAUCAGCAAGACUUGCAUCGAUUCCAUGCCAGAAAUGUAAGGGGUCGGGCAUUUCAAGAAGGAGACCCGGUUCUUCGAGUGGACCAGCAGAGACCACACAAGCUCACUCCUGCUUGGGAAGGCCCUUUCGUCGUCACAGAAGUGCUCCACAAUGGAGCGUAUCAUCUCUUCAACAUCGAGCAUAAUAAAGAUGAGCCACGCGCCUGGAAUGCGGAAUUGCUCCGCCCUUUUUACUCUAAAGUAUUUAGAACUGAUGAGAUGUAAUAAGAAGAACCCUUUUAGUUUGAUUAUCAAAAGACAUGAUUUUACAGUCUUCCGAACGAUUGUUGUUCAUUUCUUACAUGUUUUAAAAAUCUUGCCGAGUGGUGAGUCUGUCUCUCACUCAGGGGCUUAGCCGCGAAUCCGUUUCGCUUAAGUAAUAAAAAACCUGCCGAGUGGUGAGUCUGUCUCUCACUCGGGGGCUUAGCUAUGAAUCCGUUUCGCCUAAGUAAUAAAAAUCUUGUUGAGUGGUGAGUCCGCCUCUCACUCGGAGGCUUAGCUGCAGUCCAGUACUCGCCAAAGUAGUAAAAAAUCAUGUCGGGUGGUGAGUCUGCCUCUCACUCGGAGGCUUAGCCGUAGUCCAGUACUCGCCUAAGUAAUAAAAAAUCCAACCGAGUGGUGAGUAUGCCUCUCACUCGGGGGCUUAGCUGCAGUCCAGUANNNNNNNNNNNNNNNNNNNNNNNNNNNNNNNNNNNNNNNNNNNNNNNNNNNNNNNNNNNNNNNNNNNNNNNNNNNNNNNNNNNNNNNNNNNNNNNNNNNNNNNNNNNNNNNNNNNNNNNNNNNNNNNNNNNNNNNNNNNNNNNNNNNNNNNNNNNNNNNNNNNNNNNNNNNNNNNNNNNNNNNNNNNNNNNNNNNNNNNNNNNNNNNNNNNNNNNNNNNNNNNNNNNNNNNNNNNNNNNNNNNNNNNNNNNNNNNNNNNNNNNNNNNNNNNNNNNNNNNNNNNNNNNNNNNNNNNNNNNNNNNNNNNNNNNNNNNNNNNNNNNNNNNNNNNNNNNNNNNNNNNNNNNNNNNNNNNNNNNNNNNNNNNNNNNNNNNNNNNNNNNNNNNNNNNNNNNNNNNNNNNNNNNNNNNNNNNNNNNNNNNNNNNNNNNNNNNNNNNNNNNNNNNNNNNNNNNNNNNNNNNNNNNNNNNNNNNNNNNNNNNNNNNNNNNNNNNNNNNNNNNNNNNNNNNNNNNNNNNNNNNNNNNNNNNNNNNNNNNNNNNNNNNNNNNNNNNNNNNNNNNNNNNNNNNNNNNNNNNNNNNNNNNNNNNNNNNNNNNNNNNNNNNNNNNNNNNNNNNNNNNNNNNNNNNNNNNNNNNNNNNNNNNNNNNNNNNNNNNNNNNNNNNNNNNNNNNNNNNNNNNNNNNNNNNNNNNNNNNNNNNNNNNNNNNNNNNNNNNNNNNNNNNNNNNNNNNNNNNNNNNNNNNNNNNNNNNNNNNNNNNNNNNNNNNNNNNNNNNNNNNNNNNCCGUCAAGAAGAAGGACGAGAUUGUGUGCACUGUCAAAGGCCCCUCCAACGGUUGACAGGAACAUCAAGACCAUUGCUGAGUGCCUUGCUGAUGAGCUGAUCAAUGCUGCUCAAGGAUCGUCCAAUCGGUCGACUGCUGAUUCUUCUUCAGAAGCUACAUCAAGCAAACAGAAACCAAUCUGAGAGAAAAACGAAUUUCGCUCAAAGACAAACGCAAUAUAUUCGAAGAUAAAUCCAAAUAUUCCUAACCGCAGAAAAGUGCUCGGGUGUUAGGCCCGAAGGAGUUUUAACGGUUACAAAAUCACUCGGCAUUCCGAGGCGAAUAAAGGUGAAGCAUAAUGUUUUUUCAAUCACUCGGCGGGAGAAGGACUGGCCGGAUCACAGAAGCUGUCGUGGUCGAUGCUGUCGGCAAUACGAGUGGCUGCCUCGAGGAAGGUGUCCAUGAAGGUCUGGAAGGAGUGCUUCUUAGUAUUCGCUACCUUGAGAGCAGCCAGCUUGUCUUCCUUAGCCUCCUUGCAGUGCACUCGGACCAACGAUAAGGCGACGUCAGCACCACGGUGAGCAGAGGAUUUCUUCCACUCUUGCACUCAGCAUGAAAUCUGAUUAAGUCGAGUCAUUAGUGACUCGAGGUCUUGAGACAGUUCCGCCUGAGGCCAGAGUUCAGCGUCCACUUGGGUCAUCGCCGCCUUCAGUCGAGCUAGAUAAGCAACUGCACCAUCCAAGCGUGACUCCAAUCACAGCAGAUUCAUUGCAACGUCAUCUUUCACGGGACAAUUGAUGGGGUCGAGACCCGUCUCGACCCACCCAGUUUCAGCUUCAAAGUCCUGACAAAGUUCUGUCCCAUCGCGAAAAACGAUGAGUCGACAGCAUAACAACAAACUUUAGUCGGCGACAAAUUGACUAGUCGAAUGAUCAUACCUUCAAGCUUCAGAACAAGUUUCGUAGCAAGUUGUUCCAGAUAGGACUCCAGCUUUUCUGUCUUGCCUCUAAGGCCACCGACUUCUGUGGUCAGGUUCUCCUUGUCCUUCCUCAGCUGCUCGACUUCCUGAUUAGCUUCCGAGAUGAUGGCCUUCAACUUCGCCUUCUCCUCCUCCAAUUUGCCGACUGAAGCCAGCUUCUGGUCCGCAAGCUUCGUCUUCUCACGCGCUUCCUUCUGAGCAGCAGCAAGGUCUAGGUCCUUCUUCUCCAAAGCCUCCUUCAUCCUCUCUAAAGAAACAACACUCUUCAGACGAGCCUGAAGUUGGCGAUUUUCACUACGCACAUCUGCUUGUGUGAAAUCACUCGGUUCAAAGAGACUGAAAGAAAAACCAGUGCGAAGUGCGAGCUACAAAGCAGAAAAAACGAUCGAAUGAUUACCUCCCAUGAUGGUCGUUUCUUCUUGAGCAGUCUUGAGAUUCUUCUUCGCGAGUUCAAUGUCAAGUUCAACGCUGGUAUGCUUCUUCUUUAAUUCGGGGAGCCGAGCUCCAAGAUCACAAGACCUCUGCAGCCAGCAAGAGAGACAUGUCAGUCGACAGAAAUAAGAGACAGUGACGGAGACAAAUUACUCUAAGACUACUGCCGAUUCAAUUAUUCAACAGUAGUCUCGGGGACUACACCCACUGGGUGCACUUGGUGUGCCCCCAUUGGAUCAGAUCAAUACUCAGCAAGGCCUGCCCAGCGUGAGUUCAAAAAAAAAAGCAAGAUGAUACAUCAUUAGACCUCAGCCGACUGCCAGCAGUCGACCGUGGUCUCGGGGACUACACCCAGUGGGUGCACUCGGCAUGCCCCCACUGAUUCGAACAGUUUACAAGGACUCAGCUCGAGGCGAGCGGAGUUGAAGAUUUCCUAAAUUCUAAACAAAGGAACAGCCAGUGGGUGAUCAGAUAAGCAACACUCAAAAGUUCAGUCGGAAUUUUGCUGACCUGAACAUUGGUCUGAAGGGCAGUGCUGGCGUUGUAAGCUACCUGGCUAGCCUCAUGCAUCAGUUUCACCUGCUCCAUGACAAGGUUCACCUGACGAAGAGCUUCCCUAGCGGCGCUCGAUGAGUCAUCUGGAGUUUGAUACGUAGCGAAGAGUGAUGGCUCCAAGGUGGUCGAAGCAGUUACCAGGUCGGACGAGUGGAGUUGCACUGGUGCAGCAGGAGUCUGUGCAGUCGAUCCCAACGGACGAUCAGUCAUCAGCGGGUUGGCGAAUGUGACGUUGGUCCGAACCAGCCCUUUAGAACAUUCGACCACCGCCUCAAGCGCCGGUGUCGACUGAGGGACUUGGAUUUCAAGCCUCCUCCUGCUUGAGCCUCCACUCUUCUUCCUCCUCUCUUGUAGAGGCGCUUCUUCUUCCUCGUCAUCUGGGAGCACAACGAUCUCUUGCGAAGCUACAGAAAGAGAGAAGUAUCAAAUUUUCAGCCGAUUGACUGCUCACUCGACUAAAUGAAACUUGGUCGAACGAACUUACCAGCUCGGGAGGUGGCCUCCUCGUCUCCUGGUGCCUUGUCGACAUUCAUGUCAGUAGCAGUAGAGGUGGGUCUAGAAAGAUGCGUAAUCCGAUCGGUCAGAACAGAAAUGUCAGUCGGUAUGUAUAAGCACAAGUGUGUUACUCACCCCGAAGCCACUGGGACGUCCAUCUUGAUCCGCGGCAAAGUCUUCCGAGUCUUGGGAGGGGCAACCUUGAGCUGCUUGGCGGUCUUCUCUGUCAGUUCUGGAGUUGGCGUCUGAGUGCGCUUCUGUGCGUGAGUACUCGGAGCCACGCUCUUCCCGCGCCCGCCCGCCGGGUCGUGUUGCUGCCUGGAUCGGUGCUCGGAACGCGGCGGCGAGUCGACCUCUUCCUCGUUGUCCGACUUCUCGCUCUCCUCCUCAUCCUCUCCGUCCGAAGACUCCCAUUCGCCGCUCUCGUCUGCACUGGCCUCCUCCUCUUGGCCCUGCUCCAGGGCUUGUUCACCGUUGGGAAUAGAGUACAUUUCAGUGAAGACCUACAAGAUGAAAAGUCAAGCAAAAACCAGUCGACAUCGAAUGCAGUCAGGACUUAUGCGCCAAGCAGUCAGAACAAAAAGGCAUACCUUGUCAGGUGGAUUGUUGUCUCUGAAAGGAAUAACUCGCCUGGAUCCCCUGGGAUUGUCCUGAUUGCCUGUGAUACUCCUCAACCACAUGGCCAUAGUCUCGGAUGACACUUCCUCUGGAUGGACCCGAGCGGUGUCUUCAGGUCCAGAGUACAGCCACAUAGGAUGAUCACGGGCCUGGAGAGGCUGGAUGCAUUGACUGAGGAACACUUCCAGCAGGUCCAGGCCGGUAACACCUUCAUUGAUAAGUUGAACCACUUUCUCUACCAGCAUCUUCGUCUCCACGUUCUUGGCUGCGGUCACUUUGAGUGGAGAAGGAGUUUGGACGCGGUCGAAUGUGAAGUGAGGGAGGCAUGUCGACUGACCUGGAGCUGUCUGGUGCUGACAGUAGAACCAGGUUGACUGCCAGCCUCUAACCGAUUCAGGGAGAGUCAUAGCAGGGAAUGAGCUCCUAUGCCUUUUCUGGAUACCUAAACCCCCACACAUCUGGAUGACAUUGGUCUUUGAGUCACUCGACUUCGCCUUUUUGACUGACUGAUAUCGGAUGGUGAAGAUGUGUUUGAAAAGACUCCAGUGCGGUCGACACCCCAAGAAAUUUUUGCACAUCGACACAAAGGCGGCCAGAUACGUGAUGGUGUUAGGAGAAAAAUGGUGGAGUUGAUCACCGAAAAAGUUCAAGAACCCCCAGAAGAAAGGAUGCGGGGGAAGCGAAGAACCCCGGUCGACGUGGGUGGCAAGCAGAACGCACUCACCCGGUCGAGGCUGAGGAUUCAUCUCCCCCUCCGGCAGCCUUGCCGCUCCCUUGGCGAUUAGCCCAGACUCCGCCAGCUCAUCCAGAUCCUCCUGCCGAAUCGAAGACUGGAUCCAAUCGCCCUGGAUCCAGCCCGGCGGCAGUCUCACGCGCGAUGACGACCCGCGUUGCUGCUUUUUGCCCUUCUCCACCCCCUUCAUCUUCUUUGCGCGUUCUAGCGCCGCCGUCUUGUCCUUCACCAUGGCGGCAGAGCGGCGACGUCGAAACAGAAGAGCUGGGCGCAACGGAGAAGCGGAGGAGGAAGAAGGAGGAAAGGGUGUGCACAGUGCAGAUGCCUCGGUCAUGUCACCUUAUAAAGGGCCGCUUCCGAGUGAUUGACGCGUGGGACCAGGCAAUCCUGUCAAAUCCCGCAAAAGUCGCGUGCAGCGUACGUGGCGAAAAAGGCGGUGUGGAGAUCGAGGCAUCACUAUUUAUCCGCUCCGCCCGCUUCGGCACUCCCCGUCCCGCGCGCUUCCACGAAAUUUCUUAUCCCGCAAAAUCCGAGAUAUGCAGCAGUUAAUCGCGCCCAAGAUCCUGCACUCCAAUACAACACUCGACAAACGACGCCACAAGUUCGGUCGACGACUCCCUGAAUGGAUCAAGGCGACUGAAUCGACGCUGAAGUACCAACGCGAGUUUUCCAUCUUGCAGAAAACGCUCGUGAAGGCGCAAGAGUCAGAACAAGUUCAACUCCAACCUAAUUUCCACUCGAACCUUAAUCCAUUCGGGGGCUACUGAUGAGGAUACAGACCUGGGGUAGGGUCAUAGGCCCGGCCUAUACAUCCUACCCAAGGUCACUACCCAAGAAGGCAAGAAGGUCAAGAGAUAACAUGAGACCCCCGGUCGAAGAUGUCGAGUGCCAUCCACUCGACAUCAUGUCACUCGGGAGUCUCCCUACCUAUGCCACUCGACCAACUACAGAAUCACUCGACCUCUCGAAGACCAGGAGUCACUCAGCAUGCAACGGACAAGCAUUCACUCCAUAGUCUUUAAGGUCAUUAACGGCACUUAAGGCUGGCGUUACCAGUAACGCCACCACUUUAUGUACAUUAACUCCCUUGUAAUGGAGGGCGGGAAAGGUCCUGGCGAACUCUAUAUAAGCUACCCUCCUCCUCUGGCACAAGGGUUUGCACCCCCUGUAACAUCACACAUAUAAUCCAAUCGACCACCGAGACGUAGGGCUGUUACUUCCUCCAAGAAGGGCCUGAACUCGUAAAACCCGUGUGUACACCUUCACCAUAGCUGAGAUCUUGCCUCUCCAUACCUACCCCCCCCCCUUUCUACUAUCAGUCUUAGAACCACGACAGAUAGAGCGUGGUUGUUGUGCGGAUAGAGCAAAUCACAUCGCACACGGACUAAACAAUGGAACCCGACGGUGAUGAUUUCAUCCAUCUUGUAUACCAGUAAGCGUUUUCUCAAAACACACACGGCUUGUUAAAAAGAAUCAUUUGUGUUGUUAUCGAUCUUCCCACACAUUUCUGAUUACUGACCUAUUUGUCGCGUAUCACACACAUCUUGUUAAGUUGAACCGUUUUUGUUGUGUUGGCUCAUCGGAAAUAGUUCAUCCGAGUGAACUGUAUGUCGUAUAUCGCACACACUGAUCUGGCUAGUCGUUUAUGUUGUGUUACCUAAUCACAAACAGUUCAUCCGAGUGAACUUUAUGUUGUAUAUCACACACACCUUUAUUUGUCUGACCAUUUCUGUUGUUAUGCUCAUCGCAAACAGUUCAGUCGAGUGAACUAUAUGCAACGCAUCGCACACGGAACUAUAAUCUGAACCGUGUUUGAUGUCUCCACCAUCACAAAUGUUUUGUAUCUUUUUUGAUGGUUUUAUUACAUCACCGUUUGUGAUUAAUGCAUCACACACAGUUUCGUCGAUGGGUCUCUGAUUGUACUAUCGCAUUUGGACCAUCCUGCAAUAGUGUUCAUAACAAGAUUUAGCAAAGCGGCACUAAUAUCUCACGACUCCGCACUUGUGGCGGGAGGAGCAAUCGGAGUACUAAUAAAAUCAUUAUUAUUAGUAUUGGAAAAAUCACACAAUUUGGUAUUUUUUGAGACAUUGUGACUAGGCAAACAAGAUAACAAGCAUGUGAUGGAGCAAACACGAAAAAGGCAAACGGAAAAUAUUUUUGUAUUUUUUGAAAAUCUUUUAGAAGUGGGGGAGAUGAAAAUGAGAGUCAAAUGGAAAAUAAUGUAAAUGCAGGGAGAUGGAAGUUUAUGUGAUAGUACUUGGAUGUUGAUGAUGUCUCCCCGGCAACGUCACCAGAAAUUCUUCCUUCUACUUGUGAGCUACAUUGGGAUUUCCUCGAAGAGGAGAGGAUGAUGCAGUACAUUAGCAAUAAGUAUUUCCCUCAGUUAAAAACAAGAUUAUCAAUCUAGUAAGAGAAUCACGCAACACCUCAUUAGCAGUACCUACACACAAAAUAACAAAUACUUGCACCCAGCAUGAACAAGGGGUUGUCAAUCCCUCGGCAGCUAAUUGCAAGGAUCAAAUCUCUUAGUGAUAGAUAGAUAAAUAAAACACAAAAUAAAAUAAAGUAAAUAAAAUUGCAGCAAGAUAUUUUUGGAUUUAAUAUAUGAUAAAAAUAGACUCGGGGACCAUAGUUUUCACUAGAGGCUUCUCUCUUGGAAAUAGCAUACGGUGGGUAAACAAAUUACUGUUGGGCAAUUUAUAGAAAAACGAAUAAUCAUGACGAUAUCUAAGGCAAUAAUCAUGUAUAUAGGCAUCACGUCCAAGAGAAAAAUAUUUUUCAUUUGCCUUUCUCUCGUUUGAUCUUUUCUUUCCUUGUGAUCUUGUUUGCGUAGUCACAAUGUCUCAAGAAAAUAUAAAAUUGUGUGAUUUUUCUAAUACUAAUAAUAAUGAUUUUAUUAGUACUCUGAUUGCUCCUCUCUCUGCUAGUGCAGUGUCUAAUGAUAUUAAUGCCGUUUAUUGAAUCUAGUUAUGAAGGAGCAAUUUUCCGGUAAUCCUAAUGAGGAUGUCGCGUCCCAUCUAAACACCUUCGUAGAACUGCGUGAUAUUCAAAAGAGAAAAAGAGUGUACAAUGAUAUUGUGAAAUUAAAAUUAUUCCUGUUCUCUUUGCGGGAUCAUGCAAAAAUUUGGUUUUCAUCUUUGCAGCGAAAUAGUAUUCAUUUUUGUGAUAAGUGCAAAGAUGCUUUUAUUACUAAGUAUUUUCCUCUCGUGAAAAUUAUUUCCCUUAGAAAUAAAUUAUGAAUUUCAAGCAACUUGAACAUGAACAUGUUGCACAAUCUUGGGGAAGGAUGAAACUAAUGCUAAGAAAUGUCCCUACUCAUGGUUUAAAUUUGUGGAUGAUCAUACACAUUUCGUAUGCGGGAUUGAAUUUUGUCUCUAGAAAUCUUUUAGAUUACUCCGCGGGUGGUACUUUUAUGGAAAUUACUUUGGGUGAAGCUACUAAAUUACUUGAUAAUAUCAUGGCAAAUUAUUCACAAUGGCAUACCGAAAGAGCACAUAGUAGUAAAAAAGUGAAUUUUAUUGAAGACAUUAGUACUUUGAGGGAUAAAGUUGAUGCACUUAUGAAAUUGGUUGCUAGUAAAAAUGCACCUAUUUAUCUUAAUGAUGUGCCUUUGUCUACCUCGAUUGAGCAAAAUAAUGAUCCCGUAGAUGUGAAUUUUGUCUCACGAAACAACUUUAAUAAUAAUGCUUAUAGAGGUAAUUUUAAUCCUAGGAUGUUCCCUGGAAGUUCCUCUAAUAAUUAUGGCAAUCCCUAUGGUAAUUCUUAUAAUAAUAAUAAUAAUAAUAAUAAUAAUAAUAAUAAUAAUAAUAAUAAUAAUAAUAAUAAUAAUAUGAUGCCCUCUGAUCUUGAGAAUAAUAUCAAAGAAUUUAUCAAUGCUCAAAAAGUUUUCAACACUACGAUAAAAAGAAAAAUUAAGUAAAAUUGAUGAUAUGUCUAAGAGAAUUGAUAGAAUUAUUCAUGAUGUGGAAAAUAUUAAGACUAAAAUUUUGCCACUCAAGGUUGAUAUCAAUGAAUCAAUUAAAGCUUUAUAUGUCUCCAUGGAUGAGAGUAAGAAGAGAACCGCUAUGCUAAGAGCUAAACGAGAAUAUUUAGAAAAAGCGAUUCCGCCCGAUUAUUUUCGUAGUAAUGAUGAAGAGGUUAAAAUGAUUGGUGUUUCUUCUAUUGAUUCCUUGUUUAGUAAUAUUAAACUUGAUGAUAAAGGGAUUGGAGAAGAGUCAACUUUAGCUAGAAGGUGUCCCCAUAAUUCAGAGGGUGAAAAUCUUGAUAGAAAAUUGAUUAAAGUGGGUUUGGAGAGGUAAAAACUUAUAGUAAUGCACCCACUCUCUUGGAUUACAAAGACUUUAAUUAUGAUAGUUGUUCUUUGAUUGAAUGUAUUUCUUUGUUCCAAUCCAUGCUAAGUUCACCCAACGCAUAUGAAUAAAACAAGGCUUUUACUAAACAUAUUGUAGAAGCGAUGAUGAAAGCUUUAGAAGAAAAGCUAGAAUUAGAGAUUUCAAUUCCUAGAAAAUUAUAUGAUGAAUGGGAACCCACCAUUAAAGUCAAGAUCAAAAAUUAUGAGUGCAAUGCUUUCUGUGAUUUGGGUGCUAGUGUUUCCACAAUUCUGAAAUCUCUAGGUGAUGUGUUAGGUUUUAGUAAUUUGGAAGAAUGCUCUCUUAAUUUGCACUUGGCGGAUUCUACUAUUAAAAAGCCUUUGGGAAGAAAUAAUGAUGUUAUUAUUCUUGAAAAUAGGAAUUAUGUGCCCAUAGAUUUUAUUAUACAAAAUAUUGAUUGCAAUCUGUCUUGUCCCAUAAUACUUGGUAGACCGUUCUUACGAACUAUAGGUGUCGUGAUUGAUAUGAAAGAAGGGCAUAUUAAAUUUCAGUUUCCAUUAAAGAAGGGUAUGAAACACUUCCCUAGAACAAGAAUUAAGCCACCAUAUGAGUCAAUCAUGAGGGCAACCUAUGGAGCAAAAAACAAAUAUGACAAUACUUGAAACUAUGCAUUAUGCCUAGCUAGGGGCGUAAAACAAUAGCGCUUGUUGGGAGGGAACCCAAUAGUUACCUUUUAUUUUUGUUUCGCUGAUGUUUUUCAAUAAGUAACAAUUGUGCUAAUGUUAUUAUUGUGUUUUAUGUUUUAAUUAGUGUUUGUGCCAAGUAAAGCCUUUAGGAUGGUUUGUGUUGGGGAUAUAACUACUAGGUAUGAACCGCACAGGAGGGACCGGGUCAUACCACUAGCGAUAACCCAUGAAGGUGGCGGGUCAUAAUAAGCCCACUGACAGCCCAAGACCCAGAGGCGACUUAGGUCCCAAGAGGAUGAACCGCCAUGAGAAUAAACUUGUAUUGUAAGGCAGGCUUAGUUAGUCACCGAGCCGGACACAUUGUCUAUGAGCCGACCGGGACUCUGUAAGCCGUCGGGCGUCAAGCUGUGUAGAUAAAGGGACGACCUGGUGGCGAGUUAGGACAGGAAAAGAAGAGAUUGAGAACUAGGUCAAGCAUAUUCGCUCCCUGGUAAUCGAAGCCCAAGCAAUAACCACCCAACACUGGAUUAGGCUGUUACCUCCAUCGCGAGGGGCCGAACCAAUAUAAACUCUCUGUGUCCCUUAUCCCGUUUAGCCCCUUCAAGCUAACUAUGUUGUGAUGGCUCCACACCUGAGUCCUUACGCUGGGACAUCUGACGUGAUAAUUCCACGACAGUUGGCGCCCACCAUGGGGCCACCACACGAUGGUUUUGAGUUCUUGAAGGGCAACUUCACAGGGCUCAAGGGGUAUGCUAUGGGCCAUAUGACCAAGAGUCAUCGUGGCAAGCUCUACAUCGACAAGGAGGUCUGGGGCUCCGAGGCCGACUCAAUCGAGUACGGGUACCGGCUCCCCUUUGCGAAAUUUACGUCUUCAUUGGCAAGAUCGGUGAGUCAGAAGCUGAGCCGGAUCGAGUCAUCUCGGCGCGCGCGACCUGCCAAGGCUAAAGCCGCCCCAAAGCAUGUUUUUGUUGGUUUCGUUCAUGGUGUGGAACUAGAAGGAGGAUCUGAAUCUGGUGGUGAGACGGUUAUUUGGCAAUGAGUCUUCUGCUGGUGAGACCAAUGAAGGAAAUAUGCCCUAGAGGCAAUAAUAAAGUUAUUAUUUAUUUCCUUAUAAUCAUGAUAAAUGUUUAUUAUUCAUGCUAGAAUUGUAUUUACCGGAAACAUAAUACAUGUGUGAAUACAUAAACAAACAAAGUGUCACUAGUAUGCCUCUACUUGACUAGCUCGUUAAUCAAAGAUGGUUAUGUUUCCUAACCAUGAACAAUGAGUUGUUAUUUGAUUAACAAGGUCACAUCAUUAGUAGAAUGAUCUGAUUGACAUGACCCAUUCCAUUAGCUUAGCACCCGAUCGUUUAGUAUGUUGCUAUUGCUUUCUUCAUGACUUAUACAUGUUCCUAUGACUAUGAGAUUAUGCAACUCCCGUUUACCGGAGGAACACUUUGGGUACUACCAAACGUCACAACGUAACUGGGUGAUUAUAAAGGAGUACUACAGGUGUCUCCAAUGGUCGAUGUUGGGUUGGCAUAUUUUGAGAUUAGGAUUUGUCACUCCGAUUGUCGGAGAGGUAUCUCUGGGCCCUCUCGGUAAUACACAUCACAUAAGCCUUGCAAGCAUUACAACUAAUAUGUUAGUUGUGAGAUGAUGUAUUACGGAACGAGUAAAGAGACUUGCCGGUAACGAGAUUGAACUAGGUAUUGGAUACCGACGAUCGAAUCUCGGGCAAGUAACAUACCGAUGACAAAGGGAACAACGUAUGUUGUUAUGCGGUCUGACCGAUAAAGAUCUUCGUAGAAUAUGUAGGAGCCAAUAUGGGCAUCCAGGUCCCGCUAUUGGUUAUUGACCGGAGACGUGUCUCGGUCAUGUCUACAUUGUUCUCGAACCCGUAGGGUCCGCACGCUUAAGGUUACGAUGACAGUUAUAUUAUGAGUUUAUGCAUUUUGAUGUACCGAAGGUUGUUCGGAGUCCCGGAUGUGAUCACGGACAUGACGAGGAGUCUCAAAAUGGUCGAGACGUAAAGAUUGAUAUAUUGGAUGAUUAUAUUCGGACACCGGAAGGGUUCCGGAAGAGUAUCGGAUAAAACCGGAGCACCGGGGGGUUACCGAAACCCCCCGGGGGGUUAAUGGGCCUUAUGGGCCUAAAGUGGAGAAGAGGAAGGGGCUGCCACAGCAGGCCGCGCGCCCCCUCUCCCCCUAGUCCGAAUUGGACAAGGAGGGAGGGGCGGCGCCCCCCUUUCCUUCUCUCCCUCCACCUCUCCUAGUUGGACAAGGAACGGGAGGGGAGUCCUACUCCCGGUAGGAGUAGGACUCCUCCUGCGCGCCUCCUCUAGGGCCGGCCGCACCCCCCCCCCUUGGAUCCUUUAUAUACGGAGGCAAGGGGACACCCAAGACACACAAGUUGAUCCACGUGAUCUGUUCCUUAGCCGUGUGCGGUGCCCCCUGCCACCAUAUUCCUCGAUAAUACUGUAGCGGAGUUUAGGCGAAGCCCUGCUGCUGUAGUUCAUCAAGAUCGUCACCACGCCGUCGUGCUGACGGAACUCUUCCCCGACACUUUGCUGGAUCGGAGUCCGGGGAUCGUCAUCGAGCUGAACGUGUGCUCGAACUCGGAGGUGUCGUAGUUUCGGUGCUUGAUCGGUUGGAUCGUGAAGACGUACGACUACUUCCUCUAUGUCGUGUCAUCGCUUCCGCAGUCGGUCUGCGUAGGGUACGUAGACAAUACUCUCCCCCUCGUUGCUAUGCAUCACAUGAUCUUGUGUGUGCGUAGGAAAUUUUUUGAAAUUACUACGAAACCCAACAGUGGCAUCCGAGCCUAGGUUAUUUAUGUUGAUGUUAUAUGCAUGAGUAGAACACAAGUGAGUUGUGGACGAUACAAGUCAUACUGCCUACCAGCAUGUCAUACUUUGGUUCGGCGGUAUUGUUGGACGAGACGACCCGGACCAACCUUACGCGUACGCUUACGCGAGACCGGUUCCCUCGACGUGCUUUGCACAGAGAUGGCUUGCGGGCGACUGCCUCUCCAACUUUAGUUGAACCAAGUAUGGCUACGCCCGGUCCUUGCGAAGGUUAAAAUGGAGUCUAUUUGACAAACUAUCGUUGUGGUUUUGAUGCGUAGGUGAGAUUGGUUCUUACUUAAGCCCGUAGCAGCCACGUAAAACAUGCAACAACAAAGUAGAGGACGUCUAACUUGUUUUUGCAGGGCAUGUUGUGAUGUGAUAUGGUCAAGGCAUGAUGCUGAAUUUUAUUGUAUGAGAUGAUCAUGUUUUGUAACCAAGUUAUCGGCAACUGGCAGGAGCCAUAUGGUUGUCGCUUUAUUGUAUGCAAUGCAAUCGCGAUGUAAUGCUUUACUUUAUUACUAAAUGGUAGUGAUAGUCGUGGAAGCAUAAGAUUGGCGAGACGACAACGAUGCUACGAUGGAGAUCAAGGUGUCGUGCCGGUGACGAUGGUGAUCAUGACGGUGCUUCGGAGAUGGAGAUCACAAGCACAAGAUGAUGAUGGCCAUAUCAUAUCACUUAUAUUGAUUGCAUGUGAUGUUUAUAUUUUUAUGCAUCUUAUCUUGCUUUGAUUGACGGUAGCAUUAUAAGAUGAUCUCUCACUAAAUUAUCAAGAAGUGUUCUCCCUGAGUAUGCACCGUUGCCAAAGUUCGUCGUGCCCAGACACCACGUGAUGAUCGGGUGUGAUAAGCUCUACGUCCAUCUACAACGGGUGCAAGCCAGUUUUGCACACGCAGAAUACUCAGGUUAGACUUGACGAGCCUAGCAUAUGCAGAUAUGGCCUCGGAACACGGAGACCGAAAGGUCGAGCGUGAAUCAUAUAGUAGAUAUGAUCAACAUAACGAUGUUCACCAUUGAAAACUACUCCAUCUCACGUGAUGAUCGGUUAUGGUUUAGUUGAUUUGGAUCACGUGAUCACUUAGAGGAUUAGAGGGAUGUCUAUCUAAGUGGGAGUUCUUUAGUAAUAUGAUUAAUUGAACUUAAAAUUUAUCAUGAACUUAGUCCCUGAUAGUUUCUUGCUUGUUUAUGUUGAUUGUAGAUAGAUGGCUCGUGCUGUUGUUCCGUUGAAUUUUAAUGCGUUCCUUGAGAAAGCAAAGUUGAAAGAUGAUGGUAGCAAUUACACGGACUGGGUCCGUAACUUGAGGAUUAUCCUCAUUGCUGCACAGAAGAAUUACGUCCUGGAAGCACCGCUGGGUGCCAGGCCUGCUGCUGGAGCAACGCCAGAUGUUAUGAACGUCUGGCAGAGCAAAGCUGAUGACUACUCGAUAGUUCAGUGUGCCAUGCUUUACGGCUUAGAAUCGGGACUUCAACGACGUUUUGAACGUCAUGGAGCAUAUGAGAUGUUCCAGGAGUUGAAGUUAAUAUUUCAAGCAAAUGCCCGAAUUGAGAGAUAUGAAGUCUCCAAUAAGUUCUAUAGCUGCAAGAUGGAGGAGAACAGUUCUGUCAGUGAGCAUAUACUCAAAAUGUCUGGGUAUAAUAAUCACUUGAUUCAAUUGGGAGUUAAUCUUCCGGAUGAUUGCGUCAUUGACAGAAUUCUCCAAUCACUGCCACCAAGCUACAAGAGCUUCAUGAUGAACUAUAAUAUGCAAGGGAUGAACAAGACUAUUCCCGAGCUCUUCGCAAUGCUGAAAGCUGCGGAGGUAGAAAUCAAAAAGGAGCAUCAAGUGUUGAUUGUUAACAAAACCACUAGUUUCAAGAAAAAGGGCAAAGGAAAAAAGAAAGGGAACUUCAAGAAGAACAGCAAGCCAGUUGCUGCUCAAGAGAAGAAACCCAAAUCUGGACCUAAGCCUGAAACUGAGUGCUUCUACUGCAAGCAGACUGGUCACUGGAAGCGGAACUGCCCCAAGUAUUUGGCGGAUAAGAAGGAUGGCAAGGUGAACAAAGGUAUAUAUGAUAUACAUGUUAUUGAUGUGUACCUUACUAGAGCUCGCAGUAGCACCUGGGUAUUUGAUACUGGUUCUGUUGCUAAUAUUUGCAACUCGAAACAGGGACUACAGAAUAAGCGGGCACUGGCAAAGGACGAGGUGACGAUGCGCGUGGGAAAUGGUUCCAAAGUCGAUGUGAUCGCGGUCGGCACGCUACCUCUACAUCUACCUUCGGGAUUAAUAUUAGACCUAAAUAAUUGUUAUUUGGUGCCAGCGUUGAGCAUGAACAUUAUAUCUGGAUCUUGUUUAAUGCGAGACGGUUAUUCAUUUAAAUCAGAGAAUAAUGGUUGUUCUAUUUAUAUGAGUAAUAUCUUUUAUGGUCAUGCACCCUUGAAGAGUGGUCUAUUCUUACUGAAUCUCGAUAGUAGUAAUACACAUAUUCAUAAUGUUGAAACCAAAAGAUGCAGAGUUGAUAAUGAAAGUGCAACUUAUUUGUGGCACUGUCGUUUAGGUCAUAUCGGUGUAAAACGCAUGAAGAAGCUCCAUACUAAUGGACUUUUGGAACCACUUGAUUAUGAAUCACUUGGUACUUGCGAACCGUGCCUCAUGGGCAAGAUGACUAAAACACCAUUCUCCGGUACUAUGGAGAGAGCAACAGAUUUGUUGGAAAUCAUACAUACCGAUGUAUGUGGUCCGAUGAAUAUUGAGGCUCGUGGCGGAUAUCGUUAUUUUCUCACCUUCACAGAUGAUUUGAGCAGAUAUGGAUAUAUCUACUUAAUGAAGCAUAAGUCUGAAACAUUUGAAAAGUUCAAAGAAUUUCAGAGUGAAGUUGAAAAUCAUCGUAACAAGAAAAUAAAGUUUCUACGAUCUGAUCGUGGAGGAGAAUAUUUGAGUUACGAGUUUGGUGUACAUUUGAAAAACUGUGGAAUAGUUUCACAACUCACGCCACCCGGAACACCACAGCGCAAUGGUGUGUCCGAACGUCGUAAUCGUACUUUACUAGAUAUGGUACGAUCUAUGAUGUCUCUUACAGAUUUACCGCUAUCAUUUUGGGGUUAUGCUUUAGAGACGGCCGCAUUCACGUUAAAUAGGGCACCAUCAAAAUCCGUUGAGACGACGCCUUAUGAACUAUGGUUUGGCAAGAAACCAAAGUUGUCGUUUCUCAAAGUUUGGGGCUGCGAUGCUUAUGUGAAAAAGCUUCAACCUGAUAAGCUCGAACCCAAAUCGGAGAAAUGUGUCUUCAUAGGAUACCCAAAAGAAACUGUUGGGUAUACCUUCUAUCACAGAUCUGAAGGCAAAACAUUUGUUGCUAAGAAUGGAUCAUUUCUAGAGAAGGAGUUUCUCUCGAAAGAAGUGAGUGGGAGGAAAGUGGAACUUGACGAGGUAACUGUACCUGCUCCCUUACUGGAGAGUGGUUCAUCACAGAAAACUGUUUCAGUGACACCUACACCGGUUAGUGAGGAAGCCAAUGAUAAUGAUCAUGAAACUUCAGAUCAAGAUACUACUGAACCACGUAGAUCAACCAGAGUAAGAUCCGCGCCAGAGUGGUACGGAAAUCCUGUUCUGGAAGUCAUGCUACUAGAUCAUGAUGAGCCUACGAACUAUGAAGAAGCGAUGGUGAGCCCAGAUUCCGCAAAGUGGCUUGAAGCCAUGAAAUCUAAGAUGGGAUCCAUGUAUGAGAACAAAGUAUGGACUUUGGUUGACUUGCCCAAUGAUAGGCAAGCAAUUGAGAAUAAAUGGAUCUUUAAGAAGAAGACUGACGCUGAUGGUAAUGUUACUGUCUACAAAGCUCGACUUGUCGCAAAAGGUUUUCGGCAAGUUCAAGGGAUUGACUACGAUGAGACCUUCUCACCCGUAGCGAUGCUUAAGUCCGUCCGAAUCAUGUUAGCAAUUGCCGCAUUUUAUGAUUAUGAAAUUUGGCAGAUGGAUGUCAAAACUGCAUUCCUGAAUGGAUUUCUGGAAGAAGAGUUGUAUAUGAUGCAACCGGAAGGUUUUGUCGAUCCAAAGGGAACCAACAAAGUGUGCAAGCUCCAGCGAUCCAUUUAUGGACUGGUGCAAGCCUCUCGGAGUUGGAAUAAACGUUUUGAUAAUGUGAUCAAAGCAUUUGGUUUUAUACAGACUUUCGGAGAAGCCUGUAUUUACAAGAAAGUGAGUGGGAGCUCUGUAGCAUUUCUGAUAUUAUAUGUGGAUGACAUAUUACUGAUUGGAAAUGAUAUAGAAUUUCUGGAUAGCAUAAAGGGAUACUUGAAUAAAAGUUUUUCAAUGAAAGACCUCGGUGAAGCUGCUUACAUAUUAGGCAUUAAGAUCUAUAGAAAUAGAUCAAAAUGCUUAAUUGGACUUUCACAAAGCACAUACCUUGACAAAAUUUUGAAAAAGUUCAAAAUGGAUCAAGCAAAGAAAGGGUUCUUUCCUGUGUUACAAGGUGUGAAAUUGAGUAAGACUCAAUGCCCGACCACUGCAGAAGAUAGAGAGAAUAUGAAAGAUGUUCCCUAUGCAUCAGCCAUAGGAUCUAUCAUGUAUGCAAUGUUGUGUACCAGACCUGAUGUAUGCCUUGCUAUAAGUUUAGCAGGGAGGUACCAAAGUAAUCCAGGAGUGGAUCACUGGACAGCGGUCAAGAACAUCCUGAAAUACCUGAAAAGGACUAAGGAUAUGUUUCUCGUAUAUGGAGGUGACAAAGAGCUCAUCGUAAAAGGUUACGUUGAUGCAAGCUUUGACACUGAUCCGGACGAUUCUAAAUCGCAAACCGGAUACAUGUUUACAUUAAACGGUGGAGCUGUCAGUUGGUGCAGUUCUAAACAAAGCAUCGUAGCGGGAUCUACAUGUGAAGCGGAAUACAUAGCUGCUUCGGAAGCAGCAAAUGAAGGAGUCUGGAUGAAGGAGUUCAUAUCCGAUCUAGGUGUCAUACCUAGCGCAUCGGGUCCAAUGAAAAUCUUUUGUGACAAUACUGGUGCAAUUGCCUUGGCAAAGGAAUCCAGAUUUCACAAAAGGACCAAACACAUCAAGAGACGCUUCAACUCCAUCCGGGAUCUAGUCCAGGUGGGAGACAUAGAGAUUUGCAAGAUACAUACGGAUCUGAAUAUUGCAGACCCGUUGACUAAGCCUCUUCCACGAGCAAAACAUGAUCAGCACCAAGGCUCCAUGGGUGUUAGAAUCAUUACAGUGUAAUCUAGAUUAUUGACUCUAGUGCAAGUGGGAGACUGAAGGAAAUAUGCCCUAGAGGCAAUAAUAAAGUUAUUAUUUAUUUCCUUAUAAUCAUGAUAAAUGUUUAUUAUUCAUGCUAGAAUUGUAUUUACCGGAAACAUAAUACAUGUGUGAAUACAUAAACAAACAAAGUGUCACUAGUAUGCCUCUACUUGACUAGCUCGUUAAUCAAAGAUGGUUAUGUUUCCUAACCAUGAACAAUGAGUUGUUAUUUGAUUAACAAGGUCACAUCAUUAGUAGAAUGAUCUGAUUGACAUGACCCAUUCCAUUAGCUUAGCACCCGAUCGUUUAGUAUGUUGCUAUUGCUUUCUUCAUGACUUAUACAUGUUCCUAUGACUAUGAGAUUAUGCAACUCCCGUUUACCGGAGGAACACUUUGGGUACUACCAAACGUCACAACAUAACUGGGUGAUUAUAAAGGAGUACUACAGGUGUCUCCAAUGGUCGAUGUUGGGUUGGCGUAUUUCGAGAUUAGGAUUUGUCACUCCGAUAGUCGGAGAGGUAUCUCUGGGCCCUCUCGGUAAUACACAUCACAUAAGCCUUGCAAGCAUUACAACUAAUAUGUUAGUUGUGAGAUGAUGUAUUACGGAACGAGUAAAGAGACUUGCCGGUAACGAGAUUGAACUAGGUAUUGGAUACCGACGAUCGAAUCUCGGGCAAGUAACAUACCGAUGACAAAGGGAACAACGUAUGUUGUUAUGCGGUCUGACCGAUAAAGAUCUUUGUAGAAUAUGUAGGAGCCAAUAUGGGCAUCCAGGUCCCGCUAUUGGUUAUUGACCGGAGACGUGUCUCGGUCAUGUCUACAUUGUUCUCGAACCCGUAGGGUCCGCACGCUUAAGGUUACGAUGACAGUUAUAUUAUGAGUUUAUACAUUUUGAUGUACCGAAGGUUGUUCGGAGUCCCGGAUGUGAUCACGGACAUGACGAGGAGUCUCGAAAUGGUCGAGACAUAAAGAUUGAUAUAUUGGAUGAUUAUAUUCGGACACCGGAAGGGUUCCGGAAGAGUAUCGGAUAAAACCGGAGCACCGGGGGGUUACCGAAACCCCCCGGGGGGUUAAUGGGCCUUAUGGGCCUAAAGUGGAGAAGAGGAAGGGGCUGCCACAGCAGGCCGCGCGCCCCCUCUCCCCCUAGUCCGAAUUGGACAAGGAGGGAGGGGCGGCGCCCCCCUUUCCUUCUCUCCCUCCACCUCUCCUAGUUGGACAAGGAACGGGAGGGGAGUCCUACUCCCGGUAGGAGUAGGAAUCCUCCUGCGCGCCUCCUCUAGGGCCGGCCGCACCCCCCCCCCCUUGGAUCCUUUAUAUACGGAGGCAAGGGGACACCCAAGACACACAAGUUGAUCCACGUGAUCUGUUCCUUAGCCGUGUGCGGUGCCCCCUGCCACCAUAUUCCUCGAUAAUACUGUAGCGGAGUUUAGGCGAAGCCCUGCUGCUGUAGUUCAUCAAGAUCGUCACCACGCCGUCGUGCUGACGGAACUCUUCCCCGACACUUUGCUGGAUCGGAGUCCGGGGAUCGUCAUCGAGCUGAACGUGUGCUCGAACUCGGAGGUGCCGUAGUUUCGGUGCUUGAUCGGUUGGAUCGUGAAGACGUACGACUACUUCCUCUACAUCGUGUCAUCGCUUCCGCAGUCGGUCUGCGUAGGGUACGUAGAAAAUACUCUCCCCCUCGUUGCUAUGCAUCACAUGAUCUUGCGUGUGCGUAGGAAAUUUUUUGAAAUUACUACGAAACCCAACAACCAACUCCAUCUACCAAGUUUAGGAUGGCGGGCUUGGGGGAUGCUCCGAUGGCGACAGUAUUCCGAACCCCUAUGAGCCGCCACACUGGGCCACGGUCUUCAUGGCCGGUAUGCAGCCAGUGCAAGACUCUACGACUGCAGCGACAAUGAUCUCCGGGUCAGCAGCAGCGACGGCUUCCGGGGCAGGAGGCCCUAUGCGCCCGCCGGCUCAAAUUUUGUCUGGUCUGUUGGAUGCUCUGACAACGUUGUUAACGGUGGAGGUUAACCCAGCGAAUCAAGCUCAGCAUAAUGCAGACGUUACAAAAUUGUGUGAUGAGGUAGCACAAUCCAAGGAAGAUUUAAAUGCAGAGAACACUCGGAUGGUAACGGAGCGAGCUUCCUUACAGAGGGAGGCAGAACGGCUUCAGGGGGAGAGCUUCAGCUUAAGCUUGGACAUGGAUGCGUCAAACGCUGUUUUCAACAGAAGGCAUGUGAGACGGCUGCCCCUGACUUAUGAUGUGAGGAAUCUUUUCAACACGCCUGGGGCAGGACCCAGUAACCCGCCCGAUAUGAAUCAGACCACUGAGGCGCUAGCAGCUGGAGAACCGGUUCAACCACGCACUAUAGACCCCCCACGUUUGAACGUAACCCCUCCUCAGCACGUUCCAACACCUCCAGGGCAUUUUUCUAACCCUUUGGAUAACAUGAUAGCUGUGGCAACAUGACUGGCGGCUCUCCCAGCCCAGGAUGAGUCACCAGCGGCAAUGGAAAUAUGGAGAGCCGGAGAGCUUCUUCAGACAGCUGUGGCCUAGUAGGCGGCUUAUUCGUACAGUCAAGAUCGUAUCCACUCCACACCUUGUCCAAGCAGGAGUUAUAGCAGGCACAUUGAUGAACCGGCCGUGUCAAGCAGUGAGCGGCACCGCAACCAGCCUCGUGGGCCUGACCCACCAUGUGUCGGCAAUGAUGCUCAGAUUUUGGUAGACCAGGGUAGAGCGCGGCGUGAGGCGGAGCUGGCGGCUCAGUUUGGCGGCUCAACAGCAAUCUCUGGUUUAUCCUUCAGCAUCUGUGGAGGCAGGAGUGACCUCUAGAACCUUGGGUGUGCCAUGUUUAGUGCCGGCUCUAUGCAAUGAGCGCUUGCCUAAGGAUUUCAAGGGCCCCCGUAAGGUGCCUAAUUACAUGGCAGAUCAGCCCCCGGAGGCUUGGAUUGAGAGUUAUGAGAUGGCCAUUGAGAUGCUGGAUGUCGGCGAUGCUGCGUGCGCUAAGUACUUCACCAUGAUGUUGGAUGGGCCGGCUCGUAUGUGGUUAAAAACCCUGCCCGCUAAUUUUAUUGGGUCAUGGGCAGAGUUAAAGAGGCAUUUUAUUCAAAAUUUCAAAGACACAUGCAAGCAGCCUAUGUCGAUCCUGGAUUUGGAUUCUUGCAUUCAAGGUGAAGGCGAGUCAACGACCCAUUGGGUGCGCCGGAUCUCGUCAAUCAUACAUUCGUCAGAUAGUAUCAAUGCCGGUUCUGAAGUCCUGAUGUUAGAGAAUAAUUGUCGUUUCCUCCCUCUUAAGCAAAAGCUAGGGCAGCUUAAGCACCACUGCAAUGAUAUGGGGGAUCUAAUGGCGGCUCUUGUCAAAUACGCCGACUUUGACAGUACCAAGGAUCCCGAGUCUGAUGAUGAUAAGCCAGGGAAGGGAAAGAAGGGCGGCAAUGCAAAAGGCAGUAGCAUAACCCGGCGGGCCAAGCCGGCAACGGUAAGCGUAAGGCUGAUGGUAAUUUUGAUUUUGUGGCUAACACCAGUGCGCAGAAUAAUAAUCAGCAUCACAAGGGAAAGCCGCCCAAGGAUCAAGACUCAUCCUUGAGGCAGUGCUGAAUCAGCCUUGUACGACGCAUGACACACGCCAUAAGCCAUCCGGUCAUCUGUGGAAGGAUUGUUACAUCAUGAAGGAGUUUAGGAAUUCCAAUUUUUUCAAUCAUGGCCCGAAUGGCGGCUUUAGAUCCGGCUCUCACAGACCUGGCUUUGGUGGUGGCGGUUCAAGCUCUGGUUUUCAGGGUCAAGGAAAUCAAGGAGGUUUCAUGUGUUCACCACCAGUCUGUGCAAGCGAGAUUAGAAAAUCCAUAAGCGGGAGGUGAAUUCUGUUGAACCGGCGGUGCCAUGAUACGUAAGGUGGUCUGAGCAGCCUAUUGUAUGGAGCCGGGAAGAUCACCCGCCCCGGGUCAGCAAUCCGGGUUAGCUGGCAUUGGUGGUUGCUCCACAGGUAGGAGGAUAUAAAAUCAUAAAGGUGCUCAUGGAUGGAGGCAGCAAUAUCAACAUCCUUUACUAUGAGACCUUUUGUCGUAUGAAUUUGACUGACAAGGAUCUUAGGCCGUCUUCUACCAUCUGUCAUGGGGUAGUGCCUAGUAAGUCGGCGUAUCCUGUGGGUAGGAUAAAACUGGAAGUGGAUUUUGGAGAUGACAAUGAUUCCAGAGCUGAGAAGUUAACCUUUGAGGUGGUGAAAAUCAAGAGCCCAUACCAUGCUUUGUUUGGGCGGCCGGCUUACGCCAAGUUUAUGGCGCGACCGUGUUAUGUUUAUUUGCAGCUUAAGAUGUCGGGUCACAAGGGCACCACCACGGUGCAUGGCAACAGAAAAAUCGCUCUGGAUUGUGAAGAGGGUGAUGCUGCUUAUGCCGAGUCGGCUUGCGCCACUGAAGAAUUAAAGUUUUAUAAAGACAAUGUUGACCCGGCGGAUAUGACACCUUUGAAGAAGCCAACGACAAAGAAUGAGCCCUUAAUGAAGUUUAAAUCGGCAGAUGAUACUAAGCUGGUUGAUUUUGUCCCUGGCGAUUCUUCAAAGCAAUUCAGCAUCAGUGCGAAUAUGGAUCCAAAAUAGGAAAGCGUGAUCAUCGAGUUCAUCCAUGAGAACCGGGACAUCUUUGCAUGGAAGCCUUCUGAUAUGCCAGGUGUACCGAGGGAACUCGCUGAGCACUCCCUAAAUGUGGAUCCCAAGUUUAAACGGUCAAACAGUUUCUUCGCCACUUCAAUGAGGAAAGGCGCAAAGCAAUAGGUGAAGAGGUGGCCCGGCUCUUGGCAGUAGGGUUCAUCAUUGAAGUUUUUCAUCCUGAAUGGUUGGCUAACCUGGUGCUAGUACUUAAGAAAAAUGGCACUUGGCGUAUGUGUGUGGAUUAUACAAACCUUAACAAGGCUUGUCCAGCUGAUCACUUUGCUCUCCCUCGUAUUGAUCAGAUUAUUGAUGCUACGGCAGGUUGUGAGCGCUUGAGUUUUUUGGAUGCUUACUCUAGUUAUCAUCAGAUCAAAAUGGCAGUUAAGGACCAGGAGAAGACAACUUUCAUCACUCCCUUUGGAGUCGUCUGCUAUGUAUCUAUGCCUUUUGGGCUCAAGAGUGCCCAGGCGACUUAUCAACAGUGUGUUCAGAAUUGCCUUCAUGGUCAGAUUGGGCGCAAUGUUCAUGCUUAUGUGGAUGAUAUUGUUGUGAAAUCCAGGAAGAAUGAGACGUUGAUUGAGGAUUUGAAGGAAACCUUUGACAAUCUCCGGGUCUACAAGAUGAUGCUUAACCCAGCCAAGUGUGUCUUUGGUGUGCCAAUAGGCAAGUUAUUGGGUUUCUUGGUGUCUGAGAGAGGCAUUGAAGUGAACCCAGAGAAGAUCAAGGCUAUCACCUCUUUGGCUAAACCGGCCUGUAUCAGUGACGUCCAGCAUUUGGCGGGUCGUAUCGCGGCUUUGAGCCGGUUUAUAAGCCGCCUGGGAGAGAAGGCCACCCCUCUGUAUCAGAUGAUGAAAAAGACAGAUAAUUUUGUCUAGAGCGAUGCUGCUAUUGAGGCGUUUGAGGCACUUAAGAAGCAACUGGCCGAGCCGCCGGUUCUUGCAGCCCCCAUUGAGAAGGAGCCUUUGCUAUUAUAUGUGAUUGCAAACAACCAGGCUAUCAAUGUAGCAGUUGUGGUUGAAAGGAAGGAGUCAGGCAAGGAGCAUUCGGUUCAAAGGCCGGUUUAUUAUGUCAGUGAGGUGCUCAUUGAGUCUAAGCAGAGAUACCCACAUUGGCAGAAGUUGGUUUAUGGCGUGUUCAUGGCUAGUCGCAAAUUGAAACAAUAUUUCCUUGGUCAUCCCAUCACUAUGGUUAGCUCUGCUCCUUUGGGGGAUAUUAUUCAAAAUAGAGAAGCAACAGGUCAGGUAGCUAAGUGGGCCAUUGAGCUUGGACCCCAUGGUUUAAAAAUAUGUGCCUCGGACGGCUAUAAAAUCUGAAGCACUUGUGGACUUCAUCAAUGAUUGGACAGAGUUGCAGAUGCCUGAGGAUAAGUCGGAUCAUACAUAUUGGACUAUUCAUUUUGAUGGAUCCAGGCAGUUGGAAGGCUCGGGGGGCUGGAGUUAUAUUGACUUCCCCACGAGGUGAUAAAUUUUGUUAUGUUUUAAGGUUGAUGUUCCCUUGUACUAACAAUGUAGCUGAAUAUGAAGCCUUACUCCAUGGUCUUCGGAUGGCUAAAGAGAUGAAUCUAAGACGGGUAAGAUGUUUUGGCGACUCAGAUUUGGUGGCUCAGCAAGUGUCAGGGACCUGGGAAUCCAAGGAUCCACUCAUGGCGGCUUAUCAUCGAGAGGUGGAUACUAUUGCUGGUCACUUCAAAGGAUAUCAAGUGGAGCAUGUUAAUCGAAGGAAAAAUUAAGUAGCUGAUGCGUUAAGCCAGCUGGGGUCUCAGCAUAAGCUGGUCCCCCCUAAUAUUUUCCUUGAUAUUUAACCCAUCAGUGAAAUUUCCUACAGAGGAGGACUUGGCAGUUCCUGACCCGGAGGCACAAUUGGUGGCGGCUCUUCAUGUUAUCCCUGAUUGGACUAUUCCGUAUUUGGCUUACAUGACCCGGGGCGAGUUACGUGAGGAUGAAACUUUGGCCAGGCAGAUAACCUGGAGGUUUAAGUCAAUGACUAUUGUCAAUGGUGAGCUUCACAGAUGCAGUAUUACAGGGGUGUUUCAGCGAUGCAUUUCUACUGAGGAGGGUCGUGCAAUUUUAAGGGAGAUUCAUGAAGGAUAUUGCGUAUCAUGUCGGCUCUAAGUCUCUCGUUGCUAAAGCUUUUCAUCAUGGGUUUUAUUGGCUGACGACAUGUUGAUGCAGAAGAUCUGGUCAGUAAAUGUGAUGGUUGUCAGAAAUUCUCAAGACGUGCUCAUGUGCCGGCUCAAGAAUUGAGGAUGAUUCUAAUUACUUGGCCGUUUGCAGUCUGGGGGCUGGAUAUGGUUGGGCCUUUCAAAAGGUCCAAGGAUAAUAAGACCCACCUCUUGGUGGCGGUUGACAAGUUUAGAAAGUGGGCUGAGGCUGAGCCGGUCAGCAAAUGUGAUGCAGCCACGACGGUUCAAUUCAUCAAAAAAGUAAUCUUUCAUUUUUGGUAUCCUCAUAGUAUCAUCACUGAUAAUGGUACUAAUCUGUCUAAGGGAGUAAUGAAAUAAUUCUGUCAACAAGAGCAUAUCUGGCUUGAUGUAUCAUAAGUGGCUCACCCCCAGUCUAAUGGCCAAGCUGAAUGAGCAAAUCAAGAAAUCUUGAGAGGUAUCAAGCCCCGGCUUAUGGUUCCUUUGCAUAGAACACCAGGUUGUUGGGUGGAAGAGUUGCCCUCAGUGCUUUGGAGUAUCAAUACCACCCCAACAGAUCUACGGGUUGCAUGCCUUUCUUCAUGGUUUAUGGAGCUGAGGCGGUUCUCCCCAGUGACAUACGUCACGAUUCACCUCAUGUGGCGUCUUAUGUUGAAGCUGACAAUGAGAAAGCACGUCAGGAUGCUAUUGACCUAUUAGAUGAGGAGUGUGACCUUGCGGCGGCUCGCUCGGCGAUUUACCAGCAAGAUCUGCGGCGUUAUCACAGCCGCCGGGUUAAAACCAGAACCUUUCAAGAAGGCAACUUAGUGCUCCGGCUCAUCCAGGAUCAAACAGACAUGCACAAGUUAUCUCCACCUUGGGAAGGGCCCUUUGUGGUCAGCAAGAAUCUGAACAAUGGGUCAUACUACCUUAUCGAUGUUCGAGACCAUAAGGACUCACGCACGUUGGAGGAGGAGACCCGCCGGCCGUGGAAUGUUGCUCAUCUUCGGCCUUAUUACACCUGAGCUACUGGCUCUUGUGAUGUACAUACUUUGUCAAUGUAUAUAUUAUCAUGAAUAUAAUAAAGCUGACAUGCCUGAUAAUUCAGGGCCUCUUUCGUUUCAUUUCUGAGAAUAUGAGUCUUUAUUGUCAUUUCAUACGAUCACUUGGGGGCUUCCUGUUCAUUGAGCAUAGCCAUGACUACCCUCUUGAUCCAUCUUAUACGCCAUGAUUGAAACAUACUUGGGGGCUUCCUCAUGGAGCAUAUCUCUGAUUCCGGUUUAUAAGCCUGGAAUGAACGUUAACUUGGAGGCUCAUUAAGCAUAGCUAUGACCCUUUAGGCUUGGACGCCUAGGUGUAUUCACCAAAAAAUCCAGGUUAUCCUGCCUUUGUAAGUUUGCCACUCCGCCCAGGUAAUCCUGGAAUGACUCGUUGUACUCUUGACAGUUAAUCUUAUAAAGACCGUGAACUUGUCAUCAUUAAAACAGCAAUUGGUCAUGUGAGGUCCGGCUUAUAAGGUUUUGAAUUAAGGUUUAACUCAGCGAAUGUACAGCCCAUAAAAGCACUUGAGUUUUAGGCUUGGCGGCCUAUGAAAGCCUUGUUUUCUGAUUUGUCUUUCAUUUGAACAUUUUUUGGAGUUUUAUCUCUUGUCACAUAUCAAUACAUGGUUGAAGAACCAAUUAGGGACAUGUUGCCUUAUGGUUCAUGUAUAUUUUUAUCCGGAGUGUUAUUAACCCGGCCUGGCUUUGGACUUUAAGUCGCCAGGAUAUAAUGAUCAUAGGCUUAGAGCUUUCUGCUCAAGUUUUGGGAUAUCAUCCCUUACUGCAUGUGGCUUUACAAGCCGGCAGUAUGAAUAUAUUGAACAGGGCGUUGUGCUUCUGUCUAUGGGCUAUUGCCUUUACAGAAUGACUUAUGAUAAGUCGACAGUAUGAACAAAUAUCACAGGUAUGAUAUUUAUUUCAUUAUAUAAGGUUUUGUACAAACCGGCCCUAAUUAUGGAUUGUUCAGUCCUUAGUGGUUUUUUAUAUGGGGUAUCAUGACCCGCCCUGGGGAAAACCGCUAGGGCACUUGUUGUCUGUUUAUAUACAGGGAAAAACGAAAAACCUAUUCUGCAUAAUUGAUCAUACCAUAAAACAUAAGGGACGGAUUUCCCAAUGAUGGAUCAACAGUGUUAUGCAAACAAAACAUGCACGAUGGCACGACAGAUCAAUACUUAACUAGCCUAUUACAUGGCUCCGCGAGUCCAAAUGGAUAAAUUGUUUUUUAAACAGUUCCUGGUGGUGCAAAUCAACAACCGCCCAGCGGAUCAGUUCUCCUGGCCUUGGCGGUUUGAAGCUUCCGGGUCAUCCUGCGUCUGUUCUUCUUCUUCCUCCACCGUCUGGAAGUCAGGCGAUGACCAAUUGAUACCAGUCAAGGCUUGAAAUUCAGCAUCGUCAUAAUAAGCUCAGACGGAUCAAUAUUCGGGGCAAAAGUAUGCUUACGGACUGGAGGGAUAAGAUCUACAACUCUAUAAGCCGGCGUGGGCAUCUUCUGAUUUUCUGCGGUGUAAGCUGCCUGAUAUUUGGACAAAUCAGUUUCUUCAACAAGUAGACUCGCCAGAGGACGCACCACUUUUACACAGGCAACAAAGUAUUUCUUUUCAAAAGGAGACCCGUCCUCUUUUAGGUCGGGAUAACCAGUGGCUAGCUCGGUCGGGUCUAGUUCUGACCGCCAUGCCUUAGCCCGGCUUAAAGCCGUAAGGGCACCGGCUCUCGCAGUCGACCGCUUGUUUUCUUCAAUCCUGGCUGGCAAGACGGAAAGUCUGCUUAAUAUGUUGCCGAGAAGAGAUGGUGUUUGUUUACUUGGGGAGAUGGCGGCUAUUGUGCAUUGAGCUCCGGUAUACAGUUGUUCUACUAACGUAUAAACCGCCUUGAGCUUUAUCAGCAUUUCCUUCCCAAGAUUGCUGCUUCUGGGACCUACAGAGCAUAUUAUGAUUAAGUCAUUUGGUAGUUUAUAACAUGAAGAGCAAAGAGUAAGUUAUAAACCAGAUGAUAUAAGCAGAUCUUACCAAAAAUGGCAAAGGUCAUCUGGUUGAUAUGAUGUCUCAAGCCGGUAAGUUCGGUCCUGACUUCCUCCAAUGAGGCCUCAGCUUUCUCAGCCCUUUGGAUCAAGGCGGCCCUUUCUUCAGCCCAGGCGGUUUUCUCAAAAUUAAAGUCAGUUUUGAGCUUCUCAUUUUCAUCCAAGCUAAAUUUGAACUUGGAGUCAACUUUCCGGGUCUCGGCUUCUUGUGCUUCAAGCCGGGAUUUCAAGUCAGUCAGAUGAGAUUGAAAUUGACUGGAUGCUUCCUGAAAGAAGAAGUCCAAAGAAAUAUGAAGAGUUAGGAAACAACAUAUAUUUAUAAGUCCCAAGCCCUUUGCAAGCAAUAGCACUUAGCACUUGGGGGCUAAUGGGUGCAGAAAAUUUCUUUAUGGAGCUAUAUAUAUUUAUAAGUCCCAAGCCCUUUGCAAGCAAUAGCACUUGGCACUUGGGGGCUAAUGGAUGCAAGCUUCUUUUAUGAUGCAAGUUGAUUAUUAUUAAGUGAAGAACCGGCUUAACUUAAUAGUUUAAGCCGGCCCUUGGGGCUACAGUGCAAAGUUGAUUAUUAUUAAGUGAAGAACCGGCUUAACUUAAUAGUUUAAGCCGGUCCUUGGGGACUACAGGUUCUGACUCAGAAGCAUAGUAAAAAGGCUAUUUCGCAAGUCUACGGCAUAUUCUAUCCUAUCAUAUUCAGUAGACUUGGGGGCUAAAGGAAUAUAUCUCAUAUGAGAACAAGAAUUAAUACCUCAUGUUUCUGAUGCAUGUGCUUGACCAUGUCAAUUUCCAAAUCACGGCUGUUGUGUACUUCAUUCAGAUAGCCGGAGAAGAUUUCACUGAUGCUCAGAUGUGAGUAAUUGGCCAUGUUGAAUUUGACCUUGUGCCUCUUGACAAACUCCUCCUUGGCAGAAUGUUUAGCCAGAGCAAUAGGGUUCCCUGGUUCUUGAAAACUAGUGCCAGUGACCACAACUUCUUCAGUGUUCGGUUUUGGAGGCUUAGUUGGGCUUGGCGGUUCAGCAACCAAGGGGUCAGCGACCAUAGGGUCAGCAGAGGUGUCAUGAUUUUCUGGUGGCGGGUCAUCAGCAGGAUUAUCCGGUUGUUGCAUAGAGGUCUCAGAGAUUGGUGCUUGUUUUUCUGGCUCACGAGGUUUGGGAUCUUAUGUGGGCUUGGUUGUUCUGGCCUUUUCGCUAGGCUUUGCUUUCCCACUACAAGAGGAUUCAGAAAGUCAGUAUGAAUAUAGAGAUGUUAAACACAGGUUUAAGUUGGUACCCAGGGGCAGUCUUGAGGAGGAAGCUAAGUCUGAGAAGAGUCGCCGACAAAGAAUGAGAAGUGAUAAUGCACAAACUAGCGAAACGCUAACUUGUGGGUGUAGUCGGUCCGAUCUUUCACGAUACUCAAUGAAAUCAGCAGUAGAUGUAGAAAAGAUGUAGACACCCAAAGACCAAGCAAGAUGCAAGAACUAGGGUUGAGGACUCGCGUAAGAGACGAUGCAGAUCAACUCUUCCGCACGGCAACGCGCUAUCACAGAUCAGCGUAGGAACAGAAAAACUUUGGUGCCCCUCGACAUGAGGCUUUUCUGGUAUUUUAUUAUCCAAUCAAAACUAACUCCCUCACAACGGCCGCAGCCAGCCCUUUUUAUAGGCAACACAAAGACUUGAGACACGCGCUAUGUAAACGUAGCAGACUAGGACUCUCCUAACGAAACUAAUCAAGGAUUUAACUAAUUAAUUAUUCGGCACCGUUGAUUACCUUGGACUCUAUCUAGACUUGAAUUCCUCACGUAAGUAGUACUUGACCAAUAAGAAAAACGCCAUGCACUGUGUAUGCUUAUCACGAUGUGUCACGUAGCAGCUCUGAGCCCUAAACUUGCUCGUUUCUUCCCGGCCGAUCAGAUCAAGACUUUUUCUGGCGGAGUUCUAAAAUUUGGUCUAACUUCUUCCAGCUGUGGAGGAACCUUGAAUAUCAGCGAACCAAUCUGUAUAGCACAUGGAAAAGCCCCUAAAAUACCAGCUUCUUUCCCCUUUGGUACUGUCACAGUCAACUUCUCAUGCACAGGUGCAACUUGAAUAUUUUUUAGACAAGUAACUGUAGUUUUAGCACAGAUGGUCACAUCAUCCUCCCCCUCUUGAAAUGAAACCAUCCUCGGCUUCAAGAUAUUUUUAGGGACCUUGCAGACAUCGCUCUUGAUAGCACUGCCGAACAUCGGCUGCAACACACAUCGCCUUCCGGAGUCCCAAAAAGAAUAAGUGUUAGACCUUCCCUCAUGUAUAGCGCGAUGAUCAUAUUGCCAUGGCCUCCCCAAUAACAAGUGACAUGCAUUCAUGGGCAGAACAUCACAGAUAACUGUGUCGGUAUAAUUUCCAACUGAAAAAUUGACGCGCACCUUGUGUGUAACUUUCAAUUUCCCCGACUGAUAUAACCAUUCAACGCAGUGGGGUUGUGGGUGCUUCCAGGUAGGCAAAGCUAAAACAUCCACCAAGUCCUUGCUAACCGCGUUAGUGUAGCUUCCUCCAUCUAUGAUCAACUUACAUUUAGUGUUGUUGAUUUUGCACUGAGUUUGAAAAAUAUUCCAUCGCUGCCCCUUAUCCUCAAUGCGAUCUUAUUGCACCCGUUGCACCAUCAAAGACGGAUACUAUUCAGCAGCUUCAAAACUCGCAACCACAUUUUCAACAUCUUCAGAUUUUGCACUAGAAGUGUCAGAAACUGCCUCUUCAUCACUAGCGGAUGCAUACCCAUCUCUUGUGAGCAACACUCUUUUCUCAUUAGGACAUUCACGUCUCAUAUGCCCCCUUCCUCCACACUUGAAACACUCUAUAUUACUAGUACGUGUGGCUGACUGCGCACUAGAAUUAACUCUCGGCAAUCCUGAUUUUAAAGCAUCCUUUUGCAUGGAAGCUUGAGGGCGAUUAGAUGUCGCUGUCCUAGAGCUAGAACCGACAUCCUCACUCUUAUGUUGCGAGCGUCGCCAUGUGUUCAAAGUGGUACUAGGAACUGUGCUUACUUGGCGUCGCAUAAUCUGCUGUUCCGCCCGCACAGCUUGGUGCACAAGAUCUUGUAUGUUGUAAUAGACCACCAUCUCAAAACGAUCCUGCACCUCAAUAUUUAGACCAUUAAAGAAACGUGCCAUAGUCGCCUCCGGAUCCUCCGUUGUCCCUGUACGUAUCAUAAGCAAUUCCAUCUCCUUGUAAUAUUCAUCAACACUCAUAUUACCCUGAGAGAGCCGCUGCAACUUGUUGUACAUAUCUCUUUUAUAGUGCUCAGGAACAAAACGUCGCCUCAUGAAUUCUUUCAUACCUCGCCAAGUCGUCGGCCGAUGUCUUGAACGACAAAUUUGAUUCCACCAAAUUAGCGCGUAACCGGUGAACUCAAUUCCCGCAAGUUGAACUUUCUUCUCCUCGCUAUAAUGAUGGGCAUCAAAAAUUUGAUCAACACGCAUCUCCCACUCCAAAUAGCCUUCUGGUUCACACUUGCCGGAUAACGAAGGGAUUGAAAUUUUUAUGCGCCCAAUUCCAUCAUCCAAAGGCACACGCAUAGCUUGACCAACUCGGUCAUGCACUCCACCAUGAAUAGAAGUUUCAGGACGAGGCUCAUAGUGUCGUGGUCGUGGCGCGUACCCCGUUGCCUCAUGGUCAACACCGUCAUCGAGGCCAUCAUCUCCAGCAUGCAGUUGUGCCGCCAGACGACGAUCCAGCACGCCGGCAUGUCCGUCACGAGCCGGUGGUGCAUAAAGCAGUGGAGCAGCUGGAGCAGUCUGUGGUGGUGCAGAAUUCGUCGUCGGUGUAUUGAUGGUGUCCGCCAAAGCGUCGAACCGAGCGAUCAGAACAUCAAUCCUUUGGUCAAGCUUCACCUCGAGCGCGUCAUGGCAUUGCUUGACGUAGUUGCACGUGUGGUCAAAACCAUCCCGAAUAUUUUGAGGAAUAUCAUCCGCGUACACUGGACGCACAACUUCCUCAGAAUCAGCAACGACCUCAUCAACCUUGUUGACCGAAGUUGACAUCUUAAUCAACACAGUACCGUGAACAACUUAGCUCUGAUACCACUUGAUAAUGCACAAACUAGCGAAACGGUAAUUUGUGGGUGUAGUCGGUCCGAUCUUUCACGAUACUCAAUGAAAUCAGCAGUAGAUGUAGAAAAGAUGUAGACACCCAAAGACCAAGCAAGAUGCAAGAACUAGGGUUGAGGACUCGCGUAAGAGACGAUGCAGAUCAACUCUUCCGCACGGCAACGCGCUAUCACAGAUCAGCAUAGGAACAGAAAAACUUUGGUGCCCCUCGACAUGAGGCUUUUCUGGUAUUUUAUUAUCCAAUCAAAACUAACUCCCUCACAACGGCCGCAGCCAGCCCUUUUUAUAGGCAACACAAAGACUUGAGACACGCGCUAUGUAAACGUAGCAGACUAGGACUCUCUUAACGAAACUAAUCAAGGAUUUAACUAAUUAAUUAUUCGGCACCGUUGAUUACCUUGGACUCUAUCUAGACUUGAAUUCCUCACGUAAGUAGUACUUGACCAAUAAGAAAAACGCCAUGCACUGUGUAUGCUUAUCAUGAUGUGUCACGUAGCAGCUCUGAGCCCUGAACUUGCUCGUUUCUUCCCGGCCGAUCAGAUCAAGACUUUUUCUGGCGGAGUUCUAAAAUUUGGUCUAACUUCUUCCAGCUGUGGAGGAACCUUGAAUAUCAGCGAACCAAUCUGUAUAGCACAUGGAAAAUCCCCUAAAAUACCAGCUUCUUUCCCCUUUGGUACUGUCACAGUCAACUUCUCAUGCACAGGUGCAACUUGAAUAUUUUUUAGACAAGUAACUAUAGUUUUAGCACAGAUGGUCACAUCAAGAAGUCCCCUGAUAAAUCGGAUGAGAAGUAUGAAGUAUUGGAUGAAUAAUAUCUAGGUUAAAAUAAGUAAGAUUCAGAUUUUUUGAAUACCUCAUUUCGGCGUUUGCGUGGGGCUGGCGUGUUAGGCAAACCGGAGGAAAGUUCUCCGCCUCCACUAUUCCGGGUUCUGCGCUGGUUCUCAUGUUGUUGUUGCUUCAAAAUAAAGUUGGGAUCCAUGUGUGCUACAGGGUUAGAAAACCUUACUUUCCGGAUCACGCGUCGGAUAUUCUAUCUUGGCAAAGGCUCUGAGUCGGAGGAAAUAAUGGUUAUGUUCAUCAUCAACCACCUGGCUGCUCUCCGCGUCGUCCUGAUAGUAAUCAAUGUCAAUAAAAUGAAUGAAAAAGGAGCCAAGGGAAUCAAGGUCUACCUCCGACUCUUCAUCUUCAUCCACGUUAAAAGUAUCAGAAGCAGUGGAUGUCUUUUUGCUUCUCUUCAUGGCUUUGGUCUUGGCUCUGGCCUUCUUGGCGGCUUUCUCAUCGUAUCACUUAUCCCAAAAAGCGGAUCCAGCCUGAGAAAGAUUACAAUAAAGGUCAGGAUUUCCAGAUUCUAUGAGCAGUGAGGUAAAAAGUAUGUAAACCAAACAAGCAUACCUCCGGUGCCAGGUUAAGGAUGCAGAAGGGAUUCAGACCCACUCUGCUGCAGCUUUCCAAUGUUUCAUUGAGAAGAGUCUUGGUCAUAUCAUUGAUAGCCUUAUCAGUCAAAUGCUAUGAAUUGUAACGCAAUGGGUCUCUGGUAUCACCAGUGUAUGUGCACAUUAAACCAGGCCGACAGCUUAAGGGUAUAAUUCUCCAAGCUACCCAGCACCGAACCAGAUCAAUUCCGGUCAAUCCGUUGCCCAGUAAUGCCCUAACCUUAGAGAAGGUAGGUGGAAGUUUGUACCGUUCAGCAGUGGUAAGCCGACCGGGAAGAGGAUGCUUUGGGUUGAGCCGAUGAUCGCGGUAGCCUGGUAAGGGAUUUUCAUCAGCAGGAGAAGUAUCCUUGCAGUAGAACCAGGUUUGAUUCCAAUAUUUGGGAUGGCUUGGAAGGGAAGCAUAAGGAGAAAUGGUGUCUCUGCGAUGCUGAAUUGAAAUUCCUCCAAGUUCUUGGUUGGGGCCAUCAGUAAAUUCAUUCUGGCGGUUCAAGUAGAAAUACUCUCUGAAGAGGUCAACACUAGGUUCUUCUUCAAGGUAUACCUCACAAAAGACUUGGAAAUUGCAAAUAUUGGAAAUGGAGUUGGGCCCGAUAUCUUGAGGAUGAAGUUGCAUAAAGUACAGAACAUCACGGAAGAAUUUUGACCCGGGCGGUGAGAAGCCCCGGUUCAUGUGAUCAGUGAAAAUGAUAACUUUGUCGGCUUGCAGCUGAGGUUUGGCUUCACCCGGAUUAGGAGCACACCAGUGAAUGACAUCUUUGUCCGGUAAGAAACCAAUCUUUACAUAAUCUUCAAGCAUUGCCUCAGUAACAAUGGAUGGAACCCAAUGGCCUGAUUAACUGUCUUGGUCAUGAUUGGGUGCACGGCCUACAAUAAAGCAAUUGAAGAUGUCAUUAAACCGGCAGAUAUGUGGCGAGUUUCAAGUUGUCGUUUCAACUGCUAUACAAGGAUAAACCUACAGAGAUUCAGUUCAGAACAAGCCAGCUUGGUUAAACCGGAAGAUGGCCAGAUUAUGGACUUAAUUGGAUGAUGGCGGCUUAAGAGGGGCCUAAUGUAAUAUGGCGGGUCACGGUUUAUGUCAUAAGCCGCUAUGGCAGUUUUAGGAAUUUAAAUCUAUCAAGUGAAAUUUUUGAUAAGGGGCAGACAAACAGAUUUCGCAAGCUACAGCCAUAAUUUUGGAUCUGUGGCAGUUCAGAAAAGGCAGUGAAAGUAAAACCUAAGGUGGCCGCAGAGAAAGAACUUUGAUGUGUUGAUGUGGUCUCUUAUAGGGAUAUGCUAUUUUUAUGACAAAAAUGAUAAUAAAGCUACUUCCGCGCAACAUCUACAGCAUCUUCGGAUCAAAAGGCUAUAGGAGUUAAAGAAAGUAAAGAAGAACAGGAGGAACAUCAAUGAACAGCUCAAACCCUAAUGUAGAUCUGAGAUGAAAGAGGGAGAUGCACUUAUAAGUGAUGAGGAUCAGCGGUGGCGCACCGGAGUUCUCCGGUCUGGUCAGGUUGAUGCGGCGGCCUGAGGUUAUGCGGCGGCAGGAGGUCGCCGCAGCGGAACUGGAGCGCUCGCGCGGGUGUAUGAAGGAGCAAGACGAAGAAGGAGGCGAGGGAGGAAAUGAGGAAGGCCCAUGUCCCUAUUUAUAAAGGGGGGCGAGUACAAGGCAUGCACGGGAAUCGAGGAGGCCAAAAUCAUCAUAUGGCUAUAGUGAUGCCUCGAUUUUCGGGAUGUUCAUUAAGAUAAGGAUCAUUUAAGAUGCUCUAGGCUUCGUGCGGAGUUAAGGCAAAAUGACGUCAUCGCGGUUUAAGAAUAUUCCAAUAGCUGACGUCAUUGCGGUACAACAAGUGAUGCAAAUUUUACAAGUCAGGUGUUGAAGAUUGAUAUGAACAAGUUCAAAUCAACCUGGGGCCUAAUGUUGGGGAUAUAACUACUGGUAUGAACCGCCCAGGAGGGGCCGGGUCAUACCACUAGCGAUAACCCAUAAAGGUGGCGGGUCAUAAUAAGCCCGUCGAUGGCCCAAGACCCAGAGGCGACUUAGGGCCCAAGAGGAUGAACCGCCAUGAGAAUAAACUUGUAUUGUAAGGCAGGCUUAGUUAGUCACCGAGCCGGACGUUGUCUAUGAGCCGGCCGGGACUCUGUAAGCCGCCGGGUGUCAACCUGCGUAUAUAAAGGGACGACCCGACGACGGAUUAGGACAGGAAAAGAAUAGAUCGAGAACUAGGUCAAGCGUAUUCGCUCCCUGGUAAUCGAAGCCCAAGCAAUAACCACCCUACACUGGAUUAGGCUGUUACCUCCAUCGCAAGGGGCCGAACCAGUAUAAAAUCUCUGUGUCCCUUGUCCCGUUUAACCCCUUCAAGCUAACUACAUUGCGAUGGCUCCACACCUAAGUCCUUACGCUAGGACAUCUGACGUGAUAAUUCCAAGACAGUUCGGGUGAUAGUUGCUUUAUUUCUGUGCAUUAACAGAAGCUUUUGUGUCCAGUAACAGAAUUGUUAAAAUUUUCUGGGGCGUGAUAAAAUUCUGAAUUUUUUACACAUGAUUGACAUACAAAUUUCCCAAGUUUCCUUAAUUUUUCAGAAUUUUUAGAGUUAGAGAAGUAUGGUCAAUGUUCAGAUUUCUACAAAAUAUUCUGUUUUUUACAGAUUCUGUUUUUGUUGUGUUGCGUGCUUAUUUUGAUGAAUCUAUGGAUUGUAUUGGGGGUAUAAGCCAUGGUAAAGCGAGAAUACAUUAGGUAUAAUGCAAUGACAAAAUAUGAAUGGGUUUGCAACAGUACUUAAAGUGGUGAUUUGCUUUGUUAUACUAACGGAUCUCAUGAAGAUUUUGUUAAGUUUUGUGUUAUUGAACUUUUCAAGUUAUGGGUGAGAUCACGAUUGGAUGAAGGAAUAAGGAGUGGCAAGAGCCUAAGCUUGGGGAUGCCCGAGGCACCCCAAGGUAAUAUUACAGGACUCCCAAGCAACUAAGCUUGGGGAUGCCCCAGAAGGCAUCCCCUCUUUCUUCUAACAACCAUCGGUAAUUUUACUUGGAGCUAUAUUUUUAUUCGUCACAUAUCAUGAGUUUUGCUUGGAGCUGUCUUGUAAUAUAUGAGUCUUGAUUGCUUUGCUUUUUAGUUUGUCACAAUCAUCCUUGCUGAACACAGCUAUCUGAGAGAGCCAUAUGUUAUCAUGAUUUGUUAGAAUUACUCUAUGUGCUUCACUUAAAUUUUUUGAGUUGGGAAAUUGCUCUAGUGUUUCACUUAAAUCUUUUAGAGCACGGUGGUGCUUAAAUUUUUAAGAAAUAUUCUCUCAUGAUUCACUUAAAUUAUUUUGAGAGUUCAUAAAUUUUGAAGAAAUAUGCUCUCAUGCUUCACUUAAAUUAUUUUGAGAGUUGAUAUGAUAAAUUUUGAAGAAAUAUUUAUGCUCUCGUGCUUCACUUGAAUCUUUUUGAGAGUUGAUAAUAGCAAUGGUAAUUUGCACGAGAUAUGAAUUUGGUCCCAAAGUGAUGAAUAUUCAAGAGGGAUAUAAUAAAAACUUUCAUGAAGAUAAUUGGAUAUUAUAAACUUGAUUCCUUGCAAUAGUUUUGUGAUAUGGAGAUAGUAAUAUGUGAGUCAUGUUGGUGACUAAUUAUGCUUUAGUAAGAAUAUUGGUGUUAAGGUUUGUGAUUCCCUAUGCAAGCACGGAAGUCAAUAGUUAUGCAGCGAAGUUACAUCCUACUUGUGGUGCAUUAUUUAGUGAUAGUUAUGUUCAAUGCAUGUUUAUGAUCAUUUUUCUUUUCUUGGUUGGUCACUUCUCAAUCGAUUUCAUUAAUGGAUCAAUGAUUGAGCAUAAUGGGCUAGGGAUAGCUUUCUUUAGUGUUGAUAUUUGAAAUACAUGGUUUCUUGUUGAUAUGCUUGACUAUUGAUGUCUUCAUAUCAAAUUAUAGACUAUUGCUUUGAAUCAUUCAAGUCCAAAUGUCCAUGCUAUAAAAGAAAAGAUUGUAUGAUGAAUAUGAUAGAUAGCAUUCCACAUCAAAAAUUCUAUUUUUACCAUUUACCUACUCGAGGACGAGAAGGAAUUAAGCUUGGGGAUGCUUGAUACGUCUCCAACGUAUCUAUAAUUUUUUAUUGUUCCAUGCUAUUAUAGUAUCAAUCUUGGAUGUUUUAUAUAUGAUUACAAGCAACUUUCUAUCAUUUUUUGCGACUAACCUAUUAACUUAGUGCCCAGUGCCAGUUGUUGUUUUUUGCUUGUUUUUGACUUUGGAGAAAAUCAAUACCAAGUGAAGUCCAAAUGUCACGAAACUUUUUAGAGAUUUUUUCUGGCGAUAAGAGACCCCGGAAGCUUCGGGAGGCCACGAGAAGAUGGAGCAGUGGACCACUAGGCACCAGGGCACGCCAGGGGCCCUGGGGUGCCCCUGGUACCUAGUAGGGCCCACGUGGCUCCGUUUGACCUAACUCCACCUCUAUAAAUACUCUAAAAUCCUAAAACCUACCAGGGAGUCCAUGAAAUACUUUUUCGCUGCCGCAAGCCUCUAUUCUCAAGAGCUCCCAUCUGGGGUCCCUUUCUAGCACUUUGUCGGAGGGGGAAUCAAUCACGAAGGGGUUCUUCAUCAACCUUGUUGCCCCUCCGAUGAUGCAUGAGUAGAUUACCACAGACCGAUGGGUCCAUAGUUAGUAGCUAAAUGGCUUCUUCUCUCUUUUUGAUCUUCAAUACAAUGUUCUCCUCGGUGUUCAUGGAGAUCUAUUUGAUGUAAUGACUUUUUUCGGUGUGUUUGUUGGGAUCCGAUGAAUUGUGAGUUUAUGAUCAGAUAUAUCCAUGAAUAUUAUUUGAGUUUUCUCUGAACUCUUUUAUGCAUGAUUAGUAUAGCCUUGUAUUUCUUCUCUGGUUUAUUGGUUUCGUUUGGCCAACUACAUUUGUAAGAGGUGCUUUGUAAUGGGUUCGAUCUUGCGGUGCUCAAUCCUAGUGACAGAAAGGAACAUGACACGUAUGUAUCAUUUCUAUUAAGGGUUAAAAGAUGGGUUUUAUUCAUACAUGGGUUUAUCUUGUCUACACCAUGUCAUCUUGCUUGAAACAUUACUCUAUUUUCCAUGAACUUAAUACACUAGAUGCAUGUUGGAUAGCGAUCGAUGUGUGGAGUAAUAGUAGUAGAUGCAGGCAGGAGUCGGUCUACUAAUCUUGGACGUGAUGCCUAUAUGUUUGAUCAUUGCCUUGGAUAUCGUCAUAAUUAUUUUCUGUUCUAUCAAUUGCCCAACAAUAAUUUGUUUAUCCACUAUACGCUAUUUUCUAGAGAGAAUCCUCUACUGAAAACUAUGGCCCCCGGGUCUAUCUUUAUCAUAUAUUAAAUCUAAAAAUACCUUUCUGCAAUUUUAUUUAUUUAUUUUGUAUUUUUUGUUGGAUCUAUCAAUAAAAAACUAUACAAUUUAAUCUUGCUCAUAACCGUUGAGGGAUUGACAACCCCUCUACGCAUUGGGUCACAAGUAUUUGUUGUUUGUGUGCAGGUGUUGUUUACGUAGUGUUGCUUGGUUGUCUUACUGGACUGAUAACCUUGGUUUCAUAACUAAGGGAAAUACUUAUCUCUGCUAUACUGCAUCAUCUCCUCCUCUUCGGGUAAAUCCCACUGUAGCUCACAAGUAGCAGAGGCGCUCCCUCGUGGCUCAUCGGAUCUUCUGCCGAACCUUCUAGGGUCUCUUGUGAUCCCAAAAAAUUAAUCCAAAAUUUUUUCUCUGUUUGAAUUCUGUUUGAUAUUGAUUUCCUGAAAAUCUAGAAACAAGCAAAAAAAUAGCAACUUGCACUGGGCGCUAGGUUAAUAGGUUAGUCCCAAAAAUGAUAUAUAAUUGCAUAUAACUGCAUAAUAAACAUCCAAGAUUGAUACUAUAAUAGCAUGGAACAAUAAAAAAAUUAUAGAUACGUUGGAGACGUAUCAGUGUUCUACUAGUAGAGGCACCACAUGCAACAUGCUAAAUUAGCCCGAAACACAAGAGGUCUAUUACACAAUUAGUCCUACUAUUUAUUUGUUUGUUUUGUUUUCUUGGUAUCUGAAAAAUGAGAGAGUGGUAUUACUCUUAUAAAAGUUGUUGGAGUACAUGCCUCCAUGGAGCAUUCACGCUCGAGGGCGCCUUGCAUCGUUAUCCGCCUGGUGCCCUCCUUGUUGUCUGAUUGGGCAUGGGCGUUCCUCACCGAGCUGGCGGCGUCAGGGUCCACGCGCGAAGCCGCCUCAUCUGGUGGCCAUUGCACUUGCCCUACGUGUGUCGUUUCAUGCGCUUGUGUGGGUCGUCUCAUGUUUGGGCUACCGGGUAGAAGCUUUGUCAUGGGGGGAGCCAGCCCGGUUAUCUGUGUGUGUGUGUGUGUGUUGGCUCAUGUGCUAGUUUGAGCAACUGAUGUUUGGGCCACCGGGCAGAGGUGGUCGUAUUUCUUGGACCCCACCCGGCUAUCCCACCUAACACCCGUAUGGUUGUUUGGGUCGAUGCACUUGUGUUGUUGCAGAGCGAGCCAAUGAAUCAACACUCACCACAUCGCUACAUGCUCUAGAACAGCCACACCACCACCGACCUGGUGCUCCAUCACAAGAUUUGGCUCCACGAAAAUAGUUCGAACAAAGUAAUGACACCAUGGGCACCACCUUCAGACAUGAUUUUCACCGGGAGACAACAUCUUGAGGUUAAGAGAGGUUUCAAAUCCCCUCGGUGACACCUCAAACAAGAAAAAUCUCACCCAAAGGCAUCACUCGCCACCAGCCCCGACCAAAGUCAAGCAUGCCCUUCGUCGGGAGAACCGAUCACCUAUGUCGGGGAUGAUGUCCCCAACACACCACCACCAGACCGAAGCCAGCACAAGCAUUGUACGGCAAAGCACUGGCCAGAACACCACCAACGGUACAAGCCUGAGUACCAGGCCUAGAUCGGCACCACCAUAUUCCAACAUCUCGUCGGGAGUCAUGCAUCCAUCAAACAAACAGUGAUGCGUCGCCAACGUAUCUAUAAUUUAUGAAGUAUUCAUGACAUGUUUACAACAAUGUUAUAUGGUUUGGGUGCAAUUUUAUAUGAUUUAAAUGGAACUAACCCACACUGACGCUGUUUUCAGUAGAACUACCGUGGUGGUGUUUUUGUGCAGAAAUAAAAGUUCUCGGAAUCAGAUGAUACUUUUUGACAAUUUUUUGGAACAAAAGAGACCCCCGAAGCUUUGUGGGAGGGCCAGAAGAGCCACGAGGUGCCCACGAGGCACCAAGGCGCGCCCGGGGGGUAGCAGUGGCGUGGUGCCUAGUGGGCCCAUCUUAGCUCCUUUUCGCGUGAGACCGACGCCAAAAAGUCUUGUAAAUAGAGAAACCCCCAGAAAUAACCCUAGAACUUCGACUCCGCCGCCGCAAGCCUCUGUACCUUCGAAAUACCAUCUGGAGCCCUAUUUUGGCACCCUUUCGGAGGGGGAAAUCAUCACGGAAGGCCAUCUUCAUAAUCCCGGCGGUCUCCAUGACGAGGAGGGAGUAGUUCACCCUUGAGGCUAGAGAUAUGUUGUAGCGACCAGACCUCAGACGGUCAAGUCUUUGUGCAUCAGUGUCAUCCCUGGAUCAGUAAUGCUGACACGCACAAUACUUGAAGGAUUUAUAACAGAGUAGCAAUCACACACUUAUUACAUCGAAUGUCUCAAAAGAGAACUUAUUACAAUAAAUAUGGCUUAAGGCCAUCUAAUAACGAUAACAGCGGAAGGCUUGGAAGAUAAGUGAGUCCAUCAACUCCAACGGCAUCACUGAGUAUAGAACCACGACCUAAGGCACCUUACUCGUCGUCUGAAAAGUCUGCAACAUGAACGUUGCAGCCCGAAAACGGGUCAGCACAUGGAAUAUGCUGGCAAUGUAACACAUAGAGAGUAAUGAAAAGAAAUAUGCUACACUACAUGCAUAUAUGGCUGGUGGAAAGCUCUAUGGUUACAGUUUUGCAUAAAGCCAAUUUUUCCCUACUGCAAAGGAAUAAGUUUAUUUAACUAUCAUGGUGGUUGUUAAACAUUGAGAAGAUAGACAUCAUCUCAAUCCCAAUUAAACAUCUACAUUAAACCCAACAAAUUAAAUUAAAGUAACAUGAUGAGAUUCACAUGAUAAUCCAGGUACUAGAUACUCAAAACGUCCAUAACCGGGGACACGGCUAACCAUGAUUAGUUUAUACACUCUGCAGAGGUUUGCGCACUUUUCCCCACAAGAUUCGAUCUCCUCCGUUGGAUUUCUCGCACUACAUGGUGUUUGAUAAACGGAUGACCGAGACAUAGUCUUUCAGAAGCGUUUGCACCUUACGAUCGGGUAGACAGUACCAACCUACAUCCCCUACAUCUGCUAGUCUACCACUGUAAGAGUUCACACGACUUAAUCAACUAUGCUAGAGCCCAUAGUAGCUUGGGACUGCACACGGAAGUUUCUAGCAUGAAAUAAUGUCAUGAUCCCUUUGAGCCUGAGUGGCGGUCCAUAAAGAAAAAUAGGCAAUCACUGGAAUACCCAGGUGCCUCAAUCCACCCAGAUAUGUAUUAAAGUUGCCACCUUAAAUAAACCAUUAUAUAAAAAUCUCACAUAUGUCAUGGAUACACUCACCCAAUCCACGUCUAGUAGCAUAGCAUGGCAUAAUAAGCAAAGGUAGAAGUAACUCCCAAGGGUUUGAUAAUAAAACAGGUAAUAGGUACUACCUCAACUACUUCCCAAAACCCACAAUUUAAUUAGAUCCUAAUCAUGCAAUGUUUGAUGAUUGAUCUAAUGCAAUAAAACUAGGUAUGGAAAAGGUAUGAUCAAAGUGUUACUUGCCUUGCUGAUGAUCCGUGAAACCUAGAGAUUCAAAGUAGCAACCGGCGCACUUCGGGUACUCUAUCGCAAACAAACAAGCAUACAAUAAGUACUCAUCUAAUACACGGGUAAAACUCAAAUAAGAGAACUAACCAGAAAGUUCAACUUAAGAACUUCGGUUUGCAAAAAGAAUCAAAUCGAACGAAACAACGAAACACAAACGGCGAAAGAAACAAGCUUCGUUUACUAAUCUGGACCUAAGUCAAAUUUUACAGUAGCAAAAACUUGUUUGAGUUGGUUAAACGGGAAGAGGGUUUCGAGACGAAACUCUAGGCGCUUGAAUCGACUGAUUCCAAUAAACGAGUGAAAAGUUAUACUAGAACGAAAAUCGGAUCAGAAAUCGCGAUCUCGAAAAAUCACGGAAAAUCCGAGAAAAAGAAAAAUUGACGAACAGAUUAACGAACGGACGUUCGUUAACUGAAACUAAACGGUGAACUCAUCCGUUAAAACGAACGAAUGAGCGAACGCUCGCUAAAUAAAUAAACCAAAAUAAAAUAAAAUAAACCGAUCUAAAAAAAUAAAACCUAGGGUUUUCUAAAAAAAUGGAUCGGUUUUCUUUACAAAAUCGGGGCGGCGGGCGGUUACCUCGGCUCGGGCUCCGGCGAGGUCCGGCGGGGCUCCGGUNNNNNNNNNNNNNNNNNNNNNNNNNNNNNNNNNNNNNNNNNNNNNNNNNNNNNNNNNNNNNNNNNNNNNNNNNNNNNNNNNNNNNNNNNNNNNNNNNNNNNNNNNNNNNNNNNNNNNNNNNNNNNNNNNNNNNNNNNNNNNNNNNNNNNNNNNNNNNNNNNNNNNNNNNNNNNNNNNNNNNNNNNNNNNNNNNNNNNNNNNNNNNNNNNNNNNNNNNNNNNNNNNNNNNNNNNNNNNNNNNNNNNNNNNNNNNNNNNNNNNNNNNNNNNNNNNNNNNNNNNNNNNNNNNNNNNNNNNNNNNNNNNNNNNNNNNNNNNNNNNNNNNNNNNNNNNNNNNNNNNNNNNNNNNNNNNNNNNNNNNNNNNNNNNNNNNNNNNNNNNNNNNNNNNNNNNNNNNNNNNNNNNNNNNNNNNNNNNNNNNNNNNNNNNNNNNNNNNNNNNNNNNNNNNNNNNNNNNNNNNNNNNNNNNNNNNNNNNNNNNNNNNNNNNNNNNNNNNNNNNNNNNNNNNNNNNNNNNNNNNNNNNNNNNNNNNNNNNNNNNNNNNNNNNNNNNNNNNNNNNNNNNNNNNNNNUGGGGCUCCAUGGGGGGCCUCGGGUCGGUAUUUAAAGGGGGGGCGGCGACUGUGGCUUGCGGGAGGGGGCGGUGGCAGUGUGGUCCUCCCGGACUCGGCGGCGGCGAUCGGGACUCCGGUCCCGAUCCGGAGCGGGAGACGGCGGCGGCGCUGGGCAGGCUCGGCUAGGCCUUCGGCCCAGUCGGGCGCGCGGGAGUUUUUUUUUAUAUAAAACAAUUCCGCUGAAACAAAGAAAAAUCCUAGAAAAAUAAAUAAAAAUCUAAAAAUGCCAAAACAAAUUUUCACCGUCUAAAUAAAAUAUUUAGAACAAGAUGAACAUUUUCUUGGCCCUAAAAUGCAGUUUUGAAAAACAUGCAAUUUUCCUAAAUUCAAAUAAAAUAGCGAAAACUCCAAAAUAAAAUCUUAUUUUAUUUUUUAUUAAAUCCUCAAUAUUUCUUUAUUUUUGGGAAAGUCAUUUUAUUCCCUCUCUCAUAUUUUUAUAAUAGAAAUAAUUGAAGAUAAAAUAAAUGAAAUCAAAUGAUCCUAUUUUCAAAAUUUGGGAAAACUCAAAUAUGAAAAUAACGAAAUCCCCAACUCUCUCCGAGGGUCCUUGAGUUGCGUAGAAUUUCUGGAUCAGGCCAAAAACAAAUAAAAUAUGAUAUGCAAUGAUGAUCUAGUGUAUAACAUUCCAAAUUAAAAAUUUGGGAUGUUACAUAUGUACAAGUAGCUAUGUGUUUGAUCUCUCUCGUGUUCUUGAUUUGGCACGACCUUGAUGUCUCGCGAGCUUUGUUAAUAUAGUUGGAUCAUAUGGUGUUUUUCCCCUCUAUCUUGUUGUGAUGAAUUGACUUUUUACCUUUGAGGUUUCACUGUUAUCGGAUUGAAUACUUUUAUGGAUUUGAAAACACUUAAUAUAUGUCUUGCAUAUGGAUACCCGUGGUGACAAUGGGGUGUUCUAUUGAUUCACUUUAUGUAUGUUUUGGCACUCAACUCAUGGAUUCUUGAGGUGACAUUGGGUUAAUCUAUGCAUAGGGGUUGAUGCACAUUUUUGUCCUACUUUCUCCGGUAGAAAUCUUAGGCCACUCUUUGAAGUUCUUUGUGUUGGAUUGAAAUAUUAUGAAUCUGAAGUUGUUUGAAGCAUAUCGAAUAAUCAACUGGCGGAUACUUGUGGCGACAUUGAAGUAUCUAGCUGACAUUAGAGUUGGUUGAUGUGUAUCAUAUGGAGUUAUUUUAGUAUGAACUAUAGGGUUGUUUGUGACACUUAUAGGAAUAGCUCAAGAGAUUGAUCGUAAAGGAUAACUUUGAGGUGGUUUCAUACCCUACAAACAAUUUCAUCUUAUGUUCUCCGCUAGAUAAGAACUUUGGAGUGAUUCUUUGUCACAAGUUGAGGGAUGGUUCUAUGAUUCAGUUAUGUUAGCGCUGUUGAGAGAUUGCUCUAGUGAAAGUAUGAACCCUAGGCAUUGUUUUAAAGCAUUGCAAUACCGUUUGUGCUCCAUUUUAUCACUUGCUACUUUGCUGUUUUUAUAUUUUUAGAUUACAAAAACUUAUAUCUACUAUCCAUACUACACUUGUAUCAUCAUCUCUUCGCCGAACUAGUGCACCUAUACAAUUUGUCAUUGUAUUGGGUGUGUUGGGAACACAAGAGAUUUUUUGUAUUUGGUUGCAGGGUUGUCUAAGAGAGACCAUCUGCAUCCUACGCCUCUCACGGAUUGAUAAACCUUAGGUCAUCCACUUGAGGGAAAAUUGCUACAGUCUUAUAAAACUCUGCACUUGGAGGCCCAACGCGAGUCUACAAGAAUAAAGUUGCGUAGUAGACAUCAACAGCCACCAAUAAUUAUUACACCUCCAUCUUGGUUUAUUACUUCACACUGUAUUUUGGGUCAAAAUAUUGACCUUUGAUUUAACUAUGGAAAAGUAAGUUUUAUACCACCUCUUUCGAAUAUGAAUCCAACAAUGUAAAUUUUGUGACAUACAACUUAUAUUUUGUUAGUCAAAUCUAGGGCCAAAUUUUGACAUAAAGUACAAAGGAGGCCAAUAAACAUAGACAAAGAUAGUAUAUGAAAAUUAUGGAAUAGAGGGAGUAUUUGUUAUAUUCUAGAUGUUUAUUACUCCUCCAUGCCAAAAUAUUUGCCAGGGCUAAAACCACAACAAGUAUUUUGCAACUGAGAGAGUAUACGAAAAUAUAUUUAUUAUAUGAAAAUAUAAUGGAACAGAUGGACAAUAUAUUUUCACAUAAUUUGAACCAAGUACUAUAUGGUAUUGUUUCAUGAUGCAUCUAAUGCUAUUGUUUUGGUGUUAUAGAUGUUGAUAAAUUUUAAUGUAAAUUUGGUCGAAGUUGACAAGAUUUAACUUUAAAAGAAUGGAACACACACUAUAUUUUGGGACAAAAUGAGUAUUUGUGUCACACACACACACACACACACACACAGUAGCAGCAAAGGAGGAAUAUCAUCAUGCAACAUUACAGAUGGCUUUGCUACGACAACCGGAAAAAUGCUUUGCGUGAACUCCAAAUCUCUAAGAAUAAUUUCGAUUAUACUUAAGACUAAAAGGGUAAAUAAGGAGAAAAGUAAUGAGGGAAUAGGCUAUAAGAAUAAUUUUAAAUGAAAUACUAUGACUAACAAAGCAGAGUGAGAAAAACAAAAAAGAUGAAAACCUGAAUAAAAUUAAUGAAUAACAGAUCCAGGACUGGUAGAACGAAAAUGUGAAUAAAUGAACAACGAACAAAUAGAGUGAUGACUCAGCAAGGAGAAUGAAGAAAGAGAGACUCAAGAAAGAGAAUGAGUGUUGUUCCCAGUUUUGACAGAGAAGUGAAGAGAGGUACCAUUUCCAGCCCAAAGAGAAGAUAGAUGAAACAAAGUGCACACUGCCCUUCCAAAACGAUGUGUUGCAUGAAGUGAAGUAGAAAAAAAACGUUGUACGUAUAAGAAGAAAAAUACCUUCUAAACAAUCCACUCCGAGUGCCAUUCUAGUCGAGAGUACCCUGAGAAAACAAAUCCACGUAAAAUCCUGAUUACGAUUAAUUAACGGCUUGUAACAGUGCAAUUAUGCGAUCCAUAUAAGCAGAGGAGGAGCACGGUUUUGCUUAACGCGAGAUUAUUAGCUGCUAAUUCGUUUCCAUCCAACCAUGGACCUCCGCUGGUCCGCCGAGGUCAAGGGCAGCGAGACCCUGAGUUCCGGGCGCGUGCUGAACGUCCGCCGCGGCGUCGUCACCCACGUGUCCCUCGUCCACCCGCCGCCGAGCGCAGUUAGCGGUCAGCGCGUCGUCGUGGAAGCUUACGUCAAGACCGUCGACGGGACCCCCGCGCUCGCGUCGCUGUCGUCCGAGAGUCUGCGCGCGGAGCUGCCGCUCCCGGUGCUGGUGAUGGGCCUCGAUCUCUUUUGCUCUCGUGUGAGGCGGCAGGGCGGCGACCCCGCUGGUGAUGAGGCGGUCGCCGUUCGGUUUGAGGGUCGCUUCAACGACGGUUACGUUCUUCUUCCGCCAUCGCCGCCGCCGUUGGAGGACGAAGAGGAUCAUCCGCUGUGGUCGUCGGAGAAUGACGACGAUGGCAGCAGCGGGGCCGAGGACGACGAGUCGGUGGAUUCGGAUUCGGAAGACUGCGACGACGAUGACAGCAGCGGCGAGGAGGAGGAGAGCGAUGACGAGGUUGACGGACAAGCGGCCAUGGAGAGCAGCGCCGACAACGACGUGCUGCUACAGAUGGUAUACCCCAGCAAGUUCGUCCCCGAGUGGCAGUUUCUUGGAGGUUCGGCGCCGCGGUUCGCCGCCGCCGGGAAGACGGCCGGCUUCAUGCGAGUCGCUGUCAGGGAGAGGCAAGAAGAAGCAGACGACAUGCAGAUCCUGGUGCUCUACCGCUACACCCACUUCUCGGCAUCAUCGUCAGGCGUGGAAGCGCGCAGGAGCACGAAGGAGCACCAGCUCCGGUUCAUAGCCACCGGCGACCACACGGCGAGGUCACUGGCGUGGGCCGGAUCGUCUCUGGGCCUGCUGAUAUACCCCCAUGGCUUCAGGAAGAAGCUCCAGCAGCUAUGGUCCAGCUUGGCGUCGAAGGUGAGCGUCCCGCCGGGAGCAAGACGCGUCGAGGUGUUCGUCGACGUUGGCCUCCUCCCGCGGGUGGACUACACGCUAGCGAGCAUGCGGCACAUGUGCGCCGCGCUGGAGGGCAUGGUGGCCAAGCCGUGGCCCGGGCGCUUCACCGGCAUGGAGCUGCACUUGCCGGAGCCGGUACGGUGCAGCAGGGACGCCGACGAGCGGCCGACAAACCGGAGGAAGGUCGUUGCAGCCGGGCAGGAGUGCGGCACUGACGUCGGUGAACAGCCGGCGAAGCGAAGGAGGGUUGUCACCGCCGGGGAGGAUUGCCCUGUCUGCUGGCAGCUGCUGGAGGGCGACGACCUCGCCGCGUGGCCGGGCUGCGGCAAGCCCCACGUCUUCCAUGGCGCGUGCCUCGAGCAAGUCCUCAAGAUGAGCGAGAUGUGCCCGCUUUGCAGGCGCAACCGAGUUAAUUGCACAGAAGUACCACAAUCCGGGCAUCACAUGCAGAUUAGUACCACGAUUGUUAAUUUUUGCGUGUCAGUACCAACAUUGGUCUAAAUUUUUGCAAAAAAGGGCUAAAAGACUGAUUUAUACGUAUUGACAGUGUGGGCCCGUUCGUCAGGUGCCGACGUGGCAUAUUUUUUGCAGAAAAUCCCUUGGCUUUAUAUGUAAUCACAUAAAUGCCAUUUUUUCGCAGGAAAACCGUCAAUGAGAGGGACUUUUUUUCGUUCGGCGCGAUUCAAACCCGCAACCUGCAGCUCGGCCUCUGAGCGCGCUAGCCACUACGCCACAGCGAAGCUGUUGACUUGAUACAGGUGAAACAUUUAUUAUACUAGCACGCACACGCUGGACCGGUAGUUGGGGCAACCGAGGCCUGUAAUAAUUUUUUCGUUUUGCGUUUUGCUGGGGCUCGUUCGUUGCCCAGGUUUCUUUUCGUUUCUUCAUCUUUUUUCAUUCAAUGAAAUUGAUCAUUUUUGUAAUAUAUGUUGAAGAAUUUUCUUAAUAUAUGUUACCAAAAUUGUUCAACAUAUAUUAAGAUUUUUUUAACUUAUAUUGAUCAUUUUUGUAAUAAAUAUUCACCGCGCAUUAUGUAAAAAAAUUAAUAGAUGCAAAAUGAUCAUAACAUUUUUUAAGUUUAUAGUGAACUUUUUAUUCUGCGAUAUUUUUUUUAAAUAAACACUGAACAUUGAAUAUUUUUUAAUAUACAAUGAUUUUAUAUAAAUAUAUGAUGAACUUUUUUUGUAUUAUAAAACCAUUUGUCACCUAUAUAUUGAACUUUUUUAAAACCUCGGGUUCAUAUUUCUAUUUGUCAAAAAAUAACACAUGUACUAAUCUGCAUGUUUACCAAACUAAUAUUUUUCUCAAAGAUAAUGCUAUUAAUACAGCCUGUGUAAAAAUAAGAAAAAAUGAUCAUUUUGCAUCUAUUAAAAAAUGAUCAUUUUGCAUCUACUAAAUUUUUUGUAAAAUAUUGCAGGCUUUGCUUGGCCCAGCUGCCGGCCCAGCGUGUGCAUGCUAGUAUAAUAAAUGUUUCGCCUGUAUCAAGUCAACAGCUUCGCUGUGGCUUAGGCUGAUUGUAAUGGGGAGUAUCAUGCAUAUGAUACUAGUGUAUGAUACCACAUCCUUAAUGCAUAGUAUCAUAUAUUAGUAUCAUGUAGUACUCUAUUUAUUGCCAUGCAUGACACAAAGUAGUAUAACAUUUAUUAUGAUAUGGUAUCAUGAUAUGAUACUCCACCCUCUCUUUCUUCAUUUAAUGCUAUGACACCUCAUCAAAAUUGCCUAGUUGGCAUGCAUGAUACUAGCUAUGAUACUACCAUUACGAUCAGCCUUAGUGGUUAGCGCGCCCAGAGGCCGACCUGCAGGUCGCGGGUUCGAAUCGCGUUCGCGCGCGUUUUUUCGUUCCGGUUAUUUAUUUGUUCAACUCGCCGGAAACUUUCAAACAAGUCCGUGAAAAACUUGCGAACGAAAAAAAAAGUCCCUCUCAAUGGCGGUUUUCCUGCGAAAAAAUGGGCAUUUAUGUGAUUACAUAUAAAGCCAAGGGGUUUUUUACAAAAAAUAUGCCACGUCGGCACCUGACGGACGGGGCCCAAUGGUCAGAUACACUGUCAAUACGUAUAAAUCAGCCUUUUAGCCUUUUUUGCAAAAAUUUAGAUCAAUGUUGGUACUGACACGCAAAAAUUAGCAAUCAUGGUACCAAUCUGCAUGUGAUGCCCGAAUUGUGGUACUUCUGUGCAAUUAACUCGGCGCAAUCUGUACAUCGAGCCCAAGAUGAUAGCCGCCAGCUACAACUAGUAUGGGCGUCGCACACUCGCAUGGUUGUGGUGAAAAGUUUGUACAGUAUAUCAAUCUCUUGUAACUAUAGUUUGCUCGAAUGUUCUUCAGAUUUGUUUUUUGUUUCUCUGAAGGAUAGCAUUCAUUCACCUGAUUGACGAUGUAUUCAUGAGAUCAUCUAUCCAUGAAUUGCGUCAGCUGUAUUUGGUAUGAGAAUAUCAUUAUAAAUAUACUCCUAGAAGAUAACCCGGCUUGCUGCGGAAAAUCAAUAGGAACGAUUUGAACUUAUAGUGAGCAUGCCAUAUGGGCUCAAUUUUAUCCAAGAGAAAGAGAUUCAAAGCUUUUUGGUGAUCAUCACUUGUCAAAGAAGCAUUUUCAACCUUCUUUGGCGAUCCCUCUAUGAUUAAAUAGAUUUUGACUUUUUUAUGAUCCUACAAUGAUCAGGCUGCGACGAUAACUAAUGACACUUGAUAGUUUAUUAUGACGUCAAAUAUGACAUUUCUUACACUAAUACAUAUCCAAAUAGCACUCACCGCCCUGUUACCACGCGUCAGUGAUGGACCUUAUCACUGACCGGCUAUAUCGAAAGCAUCAGUGAUAAGGUUUUUGGGCUUCCGUUAGAUGUUUAUCACAUACGGUCCUACAUUAGUUGGUUUGUGAUGAUGUUCCGAUGACCAAAAAGUAGCGCAAGUUAUCACUAACCGUCUACUAUAUUUGACCCAUCAAGGUAGCCUAUUCAAGUCUAACACUUGGGUUUUCCUGUUGGUCAGUGUUGGUUUGUACGCGACCUGUUACAAUCGAUCGUCCAUUGCCCGUCUCCAAUCAAACCCACACAGGCACCACUCUCUCGCCGCCUUCACCCUUCCUCUGUUCUGGCGCCGAUCCAUCUCUUGGAGAGAGUCCAUCACUGCAUCCGAUUUCAUGUGUCGCGAAUACGCAGAUCAGCCAUCGUCGUGCUUUGCUACCACCGGGCACCGUCGCGCUUCACUACCUUCGUGCAUGCCGCUGCUUUAACACAUGGUCAGUGGCGAUGUAUGGAUUUGCCAGAUCCGACCUUUGCAUUCGGCCAGGCGGCGAUGCCGGGUCUCCCGCGCAUGUGUGCACGAUCGUGGACAGGGCAUGUGCUUCCUAAUUCUUCGGCCGCGGCGGUGGUCAUGAUGGUGAGUUCUUCCUUUCUAUUUGUGUUGAAAUUUUUAAAGUUUGCUAUGCAUCUUAUUGAAGAGUCAUUAGUAUUGUGACAUAAAUUGUAUGUUAUUUUACUAUGCAUGUUAGAAUUCUAUUUAUGCGAAUUAAGAAUAGUUUUAUAACCUUAAGGCCCGACUGUGUAGAAUUUAUACAUAUCGCCGGUGAUGAUAAAAUUAAAAAUGCAUGUCUUAGUAAUUUUGUGUGGGUAAUACAUACUUUGUAUUUUCCAUCUUCACAUUAAUACUACACAUUGUAGACUUGUCUGAUGAUGAAAUUUGUGAUCUUAGCAACUAAGUAUGUGUGUAGCUUUCGAUGCAAGUGUUCGGUAGUCACUUCAAUUCUUUAGCGAUACAUAGGCACAAGUUUUUACUAUCACUUUCUAUUACUACUAUAUGUAUGACUAUUAAGGAUAGCAAAUGAACCUUCUCUUUAUUUUGUGCAAAAAGGGUUAUGGACAAACAUCGUUGUUGUUGUGGUCUUUUAGCGUACUGCACAAUCACUUUUUUCGUAAGAGUAUUUUGUGCAGUGCAAGCAAAAUAUCACAUAAUGGACGCUACUCUAUUUUGGGUGCACUAAAAAAAAGUUGAAACCAAAUUGCACAACAACCGUGGCUUGAGUUAGUAGCGAUUUUCGAAGCAAUUCUGAGUUUACCUCUUACUCUAGUUUAUUUAUACUCCCUCCGUUUCUAAAUAUUUGUCUUUUUAGAGAUUUCAAAUGGACUAUCACAUACUAUAUAGACAUAUUUUAGAGUGUAAAUUCGCUCAUUUUGCUCCGUAUGUAGUCACUUAUUAGAAUCUUUCGAAAGACAAAUAUUUAGGAACAGAGGAAGUAUUUAUUAAGUCGUUAUUUAUUAUGCAUUGCCUCGUCCUAUACAAAUCAUAUGUGUGUUACAGUUUUGGAAAAGUCACUGUCCUUCCCUUCUCCGUUGAUUGGUUGACACAACUAACCGCUUUGUCAACCUCAAAUGAGAGAAGUGAAAGGUCGGCUACUGGAUUCCUUAGAGUGAAAUUUGCUCACUCUGGCAUGAAUCCUAUCAGCAUCAAUUCCAAGAUUUAUUUGUUAUUGACCCAUUUUGUUAGAAGUCAAGGUAAUUUUGUGUUUCAUCGUUUUGGUGCUUGUGCUAUCUCUAAAGGACUCAAAUAUGUAUGAAAUGCAAUACUUUUAUGAGAUGAAUGUGGAUGUGAUUGUGUAUUGUGCAUGUGUAUAUAAGUGUCUUGUGCUUUCCAACUUGUGGUUGCACUCCUAGCACAAUACUAGUUGUCGAUCCCCAAGCUACAAAAGCAAUUAUAUGUCAUCACUGCUCAGCCUGCUUGCACAGUUCAUUCAUCACUGACCAGACAACUAGCCCACCAGUGAUGAAGAUGUCAUCAGUGACAAUGAGACAUUGACGGGUUGCAAGCGCGUCAAUGAUGACCUUUUUUUACCCGGUAAGCGCUAUUCAUGCUUGUAGUAGUGUUAUAUAUAUAUAUAUAUAUAUUAAAUAUAAAACAGUAAUAACCUAGAAAUUUCCGUAAAAACAUCUACUACCUCAAUUUCUAAAUAUAAGUCUUUUUAGAUAUUUCAAUAUGGAUUACAUAAGGAUGAAUAUGGACGUACUUUAGAGUGUAGAUUCACUCAUUUUGCUUCAUAUGCUGUCCGUAUUAGAAUCCCUAAGACUUAUAUUUAGGAACUGAGGGAAGUAACACUCAAUUUAAUACUCACUCUGUAAAGAAAUGUAAGAGUUUUUAGCACAUUACUUAGUGUGCUAAAAAAGUAAUGUGCUGAAUAGUCUUACAUUUCUUUGCAGAGGGAGUAUAUCAUAAAAUGAAGGUAGAUUUAUCUUGAUAAUAUAUUUCCAGUAUUGCCCAGCUAUGCCAUCGCCAAAAUGUAGAAAAUACAUAGACAACGUCUGGGUUCGAGAUAGGAUGUCGUGGCAUCCCCGACGAGGCCUCGUAGGAACGAGCCAAAGCCGGCAAUGAUGAGACUUACUUUGGCAUAGCAAGUGAAGGCAAGUCGGAGAUUUUGACUAGUUCGGAUGUUUGGGAAGCCUAUGGGGGUGCCUGUCAGCAACAGAGUUGCUGUCGGGUUACGGUCGGAGAAUGCAACGACGUUGGCAGCGGCUUGUGCAGGGUAGGGCGGUUCGACUUGACAGGUGGGCAGCUCGCAUUAGGCAAGAGGAAGAAGAAGAUAAAUAGUAAUUGCAAGUGAGUUAAAUAAAGUAAUAGUCAUCGUACUUGCCUCGCAAACUCACUUACGGUCUUGUGCUCAAAAAAUGCAGAAUUUAUGUCGCGUGCCCUUGUACUUGAGAAUUGGCUCGUUUUAGUCCGGAAUCACACGAGCCCGGCAAAAGAAUGUCAUGGGAGUGAUCAGGGGUAGUAACGCCAUCACAGAGAACAGCAAUUCGGAGCUCGGGGUCAUCUACACCUGUUCAUGAACAAUAAAUCCGAAAAAAUAGCAAACAAAUUCAGCAUUGGGAAUGUGCAAAAUUUGAUGAUCAAAUAACAUUCCAAGAGCUCAUUGCAAAAAGAAAAGAAAAAAUAGUUCUCAAAUAAACUCUUAAAAAAUGCACGGUAUAGAUCUGAUUUAUUUAUUUAUUUUGUCAUGAGCUACUCAGAUGUCAUUUGGCCACCAAAACUUGCAUGCUCCUAGCGCACCAGAGCAUCUUGAAUGCCUAAAAUUUUCAGAUUUCUUUGAAUUUGUGGCUACUUUUUUUCUUCAUAUUUGCUGUUCACCGAGACCAGCUGAGCCUGGGCUCACCUCAAGCGCUUACUUAACUACUCGUAGGAGUAGAGAUCAUUUGCUCCCCAUGACAAUGCAUUAAUUCUACAUCGUUCUGACAUGACCAACAUAAACUACUCUCUCUGUCACUUGCAAUCUGUAAAUUUAACGCGCCUGCCAGUGUAGCACCCUAUGAUGAGCCACAGCCGGGCGCCCGCCGUGGCGAUGGACGGACACGCGAGCAUUUCGUGUCCUGCCAACCUCAUGCCCUCCUAAACCCACGCUAACCAUUACCAGACCCCCAGCCCACACCACAAAUACACAAACAAGCACGAGCAGAGCAGAGCAGAGCCGAGCACGCGAGCUCUCACCAGUACGGCACGACAGGCGCUCCGUCCUCCCUGGCCAUGGCUCGCGCGCACGGCGCAUUCCUGCUGCAGCUGCUGGCCGCCGGCCUGCAGGUCGUCGCGCUCGCUGCGACCGUCACAGUCACGCAGACGGACGACCCGCGGUGCCGGCCGAGCCUCCCGCGGCGGGGCGCCGUCGCGGUGUACCCGAGCGACAUGGAGCAGCUGCAGUUCCUGCUCAACCCCAAGUUCGUGGAGGCGGAGUGGUUCCUCCACGCCGCGCUGGGCCGCGGCAUCGACUACCUCGACCGCAACCUCUCGGCGGGUGGCCCGGCCCCCGUCGGCGCGCGCAAGGCCAGCCUCGACUUCCGCACCACCGAGAUCGCCGCCGAGCUCGGGUACCAGGAGGUGGGCCACAUCAGGGCCAUCACGCAGGCCAACGGCGGGUUCCCGCGCCCGGCCAUCGACCUCAGCGCCGACCGCUUCGCCGCCAUCAUGGACGACGCCCUGGGGGCGCGCCUCGACCCGCCCUUCGACGCCUACAACAGCACCGUCAACUUCUUGCUCGCCUCCUACAUCCUCCCCCACGUCACCGCCGCCGCCGCCGUCGGCAUCAGCCCCAACCUCAUGGGCUACGCCUCCAAGCGCCUCCACGCGAGCGUCCUGGCGGUGGAGGCCGGGCAGGACGCGGUGAUCAGGAUGCUGCUGUACCAGCGCGCCGACGAGACGGUGGCGCCGUACAAGGGGCGCACGGUCGCCGAGUUCACGCGCCGGAUCUCCGACUGGCGCAACGACCUGUCCGGCUGCGGCGCCAAGGACGAGGGGGUCAAGGUGCUGGACCGGCAUCAGGGCGCGGAGCGGCGCACCAUCAGCAACAUCCUCGGCGCCGGCGUGGACUCGCUCGGUUACCAGCGCACCCCGGCGGAGGCGCUGCGCAUCCUCUACGGCUCGCGCAACGAGCAGGUCCCCGGCGGGUUCCUGCCCCGGGGCGCCAACGGCACCAUCGCCAGAGGAUUUGUCCAGCUCGCAUAGAUGUCGCUGCAGCUCGAGGAAUCACCCGGUGCUUCCAUUCCACCUCUUUCGUGCUACCCAUGGACUGAGACGCAAUAAAAAUUCAGCUUACAGCUACAGAAACAAAAUGCCAAGUGUGUGUAGGAACCGUACAAAACUAAACUAAAAUCUGUUGCGAAUAGUACUUCGUUAGCAUUACUCAUACUAUGAUUUGUCAUUGUUUGUUCCUUAUAUCUGUGGAUCGAGUUUCAAAUGAAAUGCUGGGCCAUUUAAAGACAUCUGGUAACAGUAUUGUCAAACAAAAUCUGUUUUUUUCUGCAAGUUUCUUGUUUUAGUAUUAAUCUAGCAAGAAGCGUCAUAACAGCAACUCUAGCCAAUCUCCUAAAAAUGAAGGAGUAAACGGCUGAGUAAAACUUAGUGGAGUAUUUUUACUCCACUAAGUUUGGUCGGUUCUAGUCUAUUUCCAAAAAAAUAGAGGAGUAAACGGCCGAAUAAAGCUUAGUGGAGUAUUUUUACUCCACUAAGUUUUGAUCGGUUCUCAAGCCUUUGAUGGACGGAACUAAAAGCGCAGGAAGCGGACGGCCGUCGUAUGAUGAGUGAUGCCGAUUUGCGGCAGGCAUGCACGUUUGUGCCGCAUGCGCUGGACAGGGAGGCGAGGGACAGGGAGCCAAGAUAGGAUUGUAGUUGUCGCCGGGGGUGGCUCCGCUUGGGCCACUCCAUCCUAGGCUCCAUCUACCAGUUGUUGCCGCUCCUUGGUCAGACCCGCCCAGAGCGAGGUCACAGGUGAGGUCGCCGUUGACAAGGAGGCUUCAGGUGAGUCGCCGGCUGGCCACAAGGGGGCCUUCACGCAAAGAAAACUUUUACCCGGCGGCGGCGGUGGAAUAAAUUUAUGAGUCGGGUAGACGUCACUCCUCUAACCAAUUUAGGAGACUGGCUAGGUACGGUUAGAGGAGUAAAACCGAAAUUUUACUUUUCUAUAAACUUUUAGGGGAUCAGCAAGAGUUGCUCUAAGAUAGUUGUGCCCUGCCAAGAGCAUCGUAGUGGCCAUGGUCAGAACCGAAUCCAGUCAGAUUUGUAUUUCAUUUUUAGUUCAUGUAAGAUCUCAUGAAGAUCCACCACGCCAUCUAAGCAGGUUGGGCUUCACUAACAAUAUCAGUGGUGGAGACAAGCCUGGGGCGGCUAGGGCUAUAGCCCCAGGCCUAGAAACAACUUCCCUUAUAAUUAUUUUAUACAAAGUAUAGAAAAUUAUAGAAAUUUAUCACUCAACAUAGCAUAGCCCCAGACGUAACCUGCUUCUAGCUCCGCCACUGACCAACAUCAUCAGGUACCUCGGUCAAUUCGUAGUGGCCUCCAUAUAGGGAAAAAAUAAAGCUCUAUCGUCGUACCAACAGGAUUGGGCUGCCUAAAGCUAUUAGCACCCAUAUUCUUUGGAAUAAGCAAGAACACCACAUAACUAAGCGUACUAUACCGUAAAACACUUAACUAGACGUACUAAUGGAGCACACGGGGGUUUCUUCAAGGACUGCAGUAGCAGCAGGCCCCGCGAGGGGAAUUUUGGUCCCCUCACCUCCGGCUGCCAACUUGCGCUGAGAGGGGGGGCUCUGAUCUUCAAGAGUUCUAUGUUCUUUGUACGUCCAGUGAUCAACGCAGUUUUGUGAGAAUAAAAUUACUCUUUUUUUUUGUCGGUGUCAGGAAAUUAGAGAGUUUUGUGUUCUGACGGAUCUGAUUAUUCAGAGUUGAUGGGUUUAUGGCCCAGUUCUUUUGAGCAGAUUGUGUAGAAUUUCGGUCUGGAAAAUCUGGAGCCAAAAGAACUCGUUUUGACUUCCAAAAUCUGGAGAGGAUUCUCUAGAAUCCUAGUGCAAUCCAAAAGCAUCCAAAAAGCUAGAUUUUUCCAGAAUCCUGAGAUUUUGGCAAGUCCCACCAGUGAAAACGUUUCAAAAUAUGAGUGUACCCCUAUCCCAUGGAGAAAUUACGUCCAAAAUGCCACUAGCUCAUCCACAUCCACGCGCUGGAGAGCUAACGCUUCGCUCGCCUCUCCCUGUUCGCAUCAGGGGAAAGCACUCCCAGCCGCAGCGCGACGGCUAGGGUUGCCGCGCCGCCGCCGGACCCACCCCGCCGGCCAGGCCCUUGCCGCCGCCGGCGGCCAGGUUCCUGCAGGCCCCCGCCUUAUCUCCCUCCGCCGCUCCUCUUCCUUCGCUGAUCAUCCUCCCCUCCGCCCAGUCUCCGCCAACAAGCGCCGAGGCUGCACCUCGACGGCUACCGACGGCCACCAGCGCUGCACCUCGACGGCCACCAGCGCUGCACCUCGACAGCCACGAGCAGCCCACGCGAGCAGACCACUCCCACGGUGAGGCAUCCUCUUUCCCUAUGUCUCUGUUCUUCUUUUUCUUAUGCUAAAUUGGAUAGAUUGAUGCUUGGAUUUGUUAGAUAUAUGUAUGGAUUGAUUGCUGAUGUUGGUAGAUGGAUGGAUUUGUUAUAUAUAUAUAUGGAUUUGUUAGAUAUAUGUAUGAAUUUUUUUUGUGUGUGCUACUGUCAAUGCUACUAUGGUAUUUGCUACUUGCUACUGUAUGGAUGGAUGGUUGUAUUGGUGCUAUUGCUAUUGAAGAUGUUGUUGCAUUGAUUUUUAUGGUAGAAUGCUAAUGAUGCUAAAGUUUUGGCCUCAUUUUCAACAUGCUAUUGGAGCCAUUGAUGGAACACACAUUAAGGUGAUUGUGCCCAAGGAGUUGGAGCCCCAACACAGGAAUAGGAAAGGUUACACAAGUGAAAAUGUUAUGGCAGUGUGUGAUUUUGAUAUGAGGUUCACGUUUGUUGUUCCCGGAUGGCCCGGAUCUGUUCAUGACACACGUGUAUGGAGUGAUGCCAUAAUUCGUUAUGAUCACUUUCCACAACCCCCCACAGGUAACAUCUCGCAUGUAUCCAUAUUGUUAUAUACAGGAUGGUAUGUUGUAAAUUUCUAAUUUCUUUUGUUGAUGUUAUACUGUAGAUAAAUAUUAUCUUGUCGAUUCCGGAUAUCCAAACAGGGUUGGAUAUCUAUCUCCAUACAAAGGGCAACGAUACCAUGUACCAGAUUUCCAACAACACCCACCAGUUGGGAGAUAUGAGACAUUCAACCAUCGACAUUCUUCUUUGCGAAAUGUCAUCGAAAGAACAUUUGGUGUUCUCAAGAUUAAAUGGCAAAUUCUUGGAGUUGGAGACAUACCUCGGUACAAACCGGAGACCCAAAAGAUGAUUGUCACUGCAUGCAUGUGCCUCCACAAUUGGAUUCGUGAUAGCAAGUUACGUGAUGAGCAUUUUGACAAGUUCGACGAUGAUGCAUAUGUGCAACCUCCAUUGCCGUUUACAGGUGCCAACGCUCUACCACCAGAAGAUGAUGGUACCAUGAACGCAAUACGCGAGGCGAUUGCUACUAGUCUCGUACCUUGAGAUUAUCCAUUUUUUUAGUUCAUCCACUUUUGUAAUGAACAAAUCUUUAAAUCCAUUCUAAAUGUAAUAUUUAGCACUUUUUAUGACAUUCAUAAAUCACUUUCGUACUCGUAUUCAACCAGAUACUGUUAGAAACAACAAUGUGUUAAUAAAUUCAUCAAACAAUUUUUGUCUAAGGGUACUACAGACAUUUCAGCACACAACUCUUUCCAGAAUCUCAACCUACAAUCCCAGAAAAGAACUCGGCAACAGAUUCUGGGAGAAGCAGAUUCUGGGAGAAUUUUCCAAAAUCUUGAUUCUGCAGAAUCCUGUGUGAAAAGAACUGGGCCUAUGUUAGUGUGUUAAGCAUUUUUUUUUGUUGCUUUGAAUAUUUGUGAAAAUGAAAUAUUUCAUCGACGCCAUGAUGAAGAUAUUAUGAUUCAACAACGUGCACUUCUAGGGGAUUAUCCAUGGUGCUAGUAAGUUCAUCGAUCAAGACUUCCCGUCUUUUUGGAUGGGCGACUCAAGGUGCUUUGAAAAAUCUUUACUAGUAAUGUUCUUCGUGAAUAGAUGGGGGUCAUCGUUGCUCCAAUCUAAUUGCAGCCCCUUUACCAAAGUCUUGGGAGCACUUCUUCUAGCAGAGAUUGAUACCACAAAGAACGUGUUUCCAAGAGAUCUCAUUGUAAUUCUUAGCUAUAGAAGUCACUUUGUAUUUUCUUGAAUCUUAGAUCCAAACUGUACCUAUAUUGAUAUGAGUACGAAUAAAAUUAUAAAUGUUUCUAAAAGCUUUGUGUAGCAAUGCAUUAGAAGGGAAAACAAUGUACACGACGGCGGGAUUGACCAGUUCUACGCCCUUUGCAAUACAACGGAACACACCCAUGCUAUCUCAAAAAUGUCGCACAGGCACAGCCCUUGGACCCCUGCCUUCUCAUGAUCGUAGUGUUUCAGUUGGUGAACGAGGCAUGCAAGACUCUGUUGUUGCGCUCGAGCCAUAGCAUCCAGACGACUGGAAUCGCAAGUGUCAAAGCCCCGCCGUGGUUGCUUCGGUAGCUGUCGGCGUGCAGCAGACCACCCCGCCGUUCGCCAUCCGCUGCCAAGACAGCAUCGUCCGAGGGUUGAGGUCGUGCACCCCACCACGAGGCCCAUGACGCAGGCGUGAAUCUUACAUUACCUGGCGCCCAGUCGAGCUUGCCGCACCCGAAGUGGUCGAGACUCGAGACCGUACGUCGUAUAUUUGCCCGAGUACGUCGACUUCCACAUGUGCCGGUAUUCCUCCCGGCCAAAAAGAACAAAUGCCACGCAAGCGGUAAGCUGUGGCAUUUUACCGAGGCUGAAUCAUAUUAUUGGCCGCAAUCAUGCAAUGCGAUGGAGUGGGCAAGCUAGAGCGCCAUGGGGAGUUUGCACAUCAAAUGUUGAUGUUCAGACUCGAACCAGACCACACACCCGAGAACCAUUUUGCAUGGAGGCCAUAGUUAGUAGACUCGAUUUUCAAGCUAACAAAUCAUACUCCUCUUGUUGACAAAUAUCAAAAAGGAAUUUAGCACACUGCAGAAGUCAAACCCAAAAGAACAGAGGUUGCAAACUUAACUUUGAAGAGAGCUUUUAUCAGAUAAUGGCUAACUUAGAUCUCAAACAUUUAAGGUAACCGGAUGAGGUCUCGAAAUAGCGCUUAAUAAGGUAAACAUCCACAUUACAUCUAGCAGCAACCACGAGUUCGCAAAUCAACAAACAUCAGGCAAAACUUAAAAACGAUGGUUCCAGGAACAUAGGUCUAUAUCCUUGCAGAUAACUGGCUAUAGCAAAACGACUCAACACCUCAGAAUCAGGCCUUGGCAGCAGCCUGGGCAGCGGCAUCCCGCUUCCUCUGCUCCUCAAUGAUGGUGAGCUUGAUACCCUUGCCCUUGGGGAGGCUCACCCACGGCUUGGUGCCCUUGCCGAUGGUGAACACGUUGCCCAGACGGGUGGCGAACUGGUGGCCCUGGGCAUCCUCAACGUGGAUGGUCUCAAAGGUUCCCUUAUGCUUCUCCCUGUUCUUGAUCACACCAACACGCCCAGUGUUGCGCCCACCAGUCACCAUGACCACGUUGCCGACGUCAAACUUGAUGAAGUCAACAAUCUUGUUGGUCUCCAGGUCAAGCUUGAUGGUGUCAUUGGCCUUGAUGAGUGGGUCUGGGUAGCGGAUGGUGCGGCCAUCAUAGGUGUUGAGGUAUGGGAUGCCCUUCUGGCCAAACUGGACAGACCUGACCUUGCAGAGCUUGAACUGCACAUUAAUGAAACAAUGUCAGUUGAUGAAAAGAUAAUGGUAUAUACUACAUUCAAGGAUAAAACAAAUGACAAACUAGAACCUAUCUAAGACAGAAUCUGAAAACAAAAUGGCAGCUUCAGAAAAGGUAAGACAGGAUUGAAACAGUUAAGCAUGGUGAGCAUAUAGAAAGGCAAAUAUGCAACAGAGUGAUACAAUGCUACGUAACAGCAAGGUUCUUCAUUGCAUGAGGAUAUCAAUGCCUACCCAUAUACAAGUAGGUUCUACAAGUAGAAUAUAAAGCAGUUCCAGAUAUCAGAAGGCAUUAGCAUAACGGAAGAACAGCAUGGCAUUACAUAAAUAGGAUAGACCUAACCUUAGCAUCCUCGUCCCUGACAGAGUGAAGGCGGAAGCGACCCUUGGUGUCAUACAGAAGCCUGUAGUUCUCACCAGUCUUGGGAAUGGAAAUGAUGUCUAGCAGACAAAAGAAAUGAAGGUAUAAGCAACCAAGUGAAGUUAACAAUCUAUGCAGAAUGUCAAUUCACAUAAGAUCAAACAAAUCCUGUUACAAAAAGAUUUAGAGCAUACCCAUGAAACCAGCAGGGUAGGUCUUGUCAGUGCGGACCUUUCCAUCAACCAUAAUAUGACGCUGCAUAAGGAUAGAUUGCACUUCACGGUAGGUGAGAGCAUAUUUCAGUCUGUUCCUC